rnacentral:lncRNA from 1 species
UGUUUGAUGGUUCUCCAUCCAAAUGCACCGUCAAAUCUUCAUUCAACAAACUCAAUUCCCGUACUUGAGACUCACGUCGGGCAACUUGGUUGUCACGCUCCUCCAACAUCUUCUACCAUUCUUCUAUCAGUUUCAAAGGUAUCUCCAAAGGUGUCAUCGCUGAAACUGGCGUAUUGAUCCAUACUAAAUUAUUAGCCUCCUUCGCUAAUACUGCUAGAUUAGUUUACAACAUCGCAACCUCUACUUGCAGCCAUUCUUAUCGUUCCUUCCAAUCAGUCGCCAUCCUUAAUAUCUCAAAUAUCAUAUUCGCCAUCUUGUCCUUAACCACAAAAGAAAACACAAUGCUUGUCAAGAGCCCCCCUCCUACUUCUUACCAUAGUCCAAUCAAUUGCAUCGACUCCCCCUUUUGUAACAAAAAAUCUAUCCAAAAUUUACGUAUAGUAAAGUUUAAGCCGAUUACCAUUGAUCCGUUAUCGUAUUACGUACUUUCCUGCUCGAGAACGCGUCGGGCGUCUGGCUGUAGAAGGUAGUAUGGAGAUUCGCUAAUAGUCAAGCAGUCUAUCAGCUUUUGACUGUUAGAAUAUAAACGACUACAAGAAUACACCGUAAAUCUAUACGAAUGUCCUUCGACUGCUCACCAAAGUCUUUUUUGUCCCGGCCGGGAGGUCUCUAAACGUUACAGAGAACCCCGAACAACCCAAACUGCUAAUCUUCAAUACCGCUUUAUACUCACGAUCUUGUAUCCACUGACUGUCUUGUUAGAUUAACCCAAUAAAUUUCAUUCACUCCGCAUACUCAAUCCUAUAGACACCCUUUUAAUUCUUCAUCAUAGACGUAACUCGAUUUCACAAAACAGUCAAGAGUAAUCAAAUCCACUUCAUUAAAAAUCCCGAUUCACCAUUACAACACUGACUUCAGCAACGAUUGCCUCCAUCUUCUCAAAAUCCUAUGAAGAAAAAAAACCCAAUUCUCUGUCUUCUUUCCCUGCCCGAAGCAUGAAGCUAGCUCCCUCCUUCUUCAAAAAAAAAAAAAAAAAACCCCCAUAAAAAAAACCUCCCCUAACCUUAUCCUCUAAAUCUCUUCAAUCUUCCGUCUUGGAUCCGAAAUUGGCUCCAGCAGUCAGAGCUUAGAUCCAAAAUUGGCUCUCACCGUCAGAGCUUUCUCCUCCAUUUUUACUUUUAAGAGAUCCAUUUACCAAAAAUAAUGUUCUCUGAAAUGGCAUAGAGAAUAGGACAGCCUGAAACAGAAUCGAAACCCUGUACUCGGGUCCACAUUGAGUCGCCUGACCAAUUCAGGUCUCAUAUUAGGUAAGAUGCCCGUAGUAACCUGGAUGUUCACGUAAUUGGGUCCAAUUGGUCCUCGCGUCAGAUCGGCUAAGAGGCCCGUAGUAAGACUGCAUUGGGUUGCCCGGCCAAUUUAGGUCUCAUAUGGAUAAGAGGACCCGGAUUGGAUUCUUGAAAUUAGAUCCAAUUGGCUCUUCGAACCAGGCUCACCCGUCGUGUGAAUUGGUCCUUUUUCUUCCUGCUGACUCCCGUUAUUGGAAUCGAACGGAGCAUUUCAGUAUGCCCCGGCUGACUGUAACGAGAAGACUGAACCUGGCCACUCAGUAUUUGCACUGGAGUUGGUCGUUGCUCCCAAUAUUCGAGGUAACUGAACAUUAAUAAAAGUCCCCUUUCUUUAUAUUUUCAUGGUAUACUCGUGUUACAAUACGACAUCCACCCCCUCUGAACCUAUGCAUCCUCCGGUAUGUACCAAUUUACCCAAUUACUGUUUGAUUCAGAAUAUAUCAUCUACGUCUUUGUCUAGUUCGUCUUCGUCACCUUCAUUACCAAAUCACUUUCAUCUUCUUGCUGCGGAAUCUCUAUACCUUCAUUAAGGUCUUCCAUAUUCAUCUCCGCAUGUCUUCGUUUAAAUAUUUUUACUCGCUUCGCUGCAAUUGGUAUUUUCAAUUUUGUACCAUCUAACUCUCGUAAUGAGUAAGUCGAAUUAUCAUAAACAGUUAUUACUACAUAUGGUCCAAACCAACGUUUUGAAAAUUUCCGCAAAGUACUAUGUUGAUUAUCUAGACUAUUGUCAUAAACAAGCACCCAAUCAACUUCCUCGAUUGCUUUAGGUCUCAAUCGAUGUUGCUUGUCGAAUCGCGCCUUGUUUUGUAACCUUGCUCUUUUUAAUCUUCCCAAUGCUAUCUGCAAAUCUUUUGUUCUUUGCUCCAAUUGUCGAAUCCUAAUAGCCAAAAGUUCUUCUCUUAUCAAUCCAUCUUCCCAUGGUAGCAUACUCCAAGUAAGUACCUUUUCUUCAAUCGGCAUAAUUGAUUUUUGACCUGUCAUAAGUUCUACUGGCAUAUAUCCUGUCACCGAGCUAUGUGUUAUUCGAUCAGCCCAUAAUGCAAAUGACAAAAGCCGUGGCCACUGUUUAACUUUUCCAUUACAAGCUUUAACCAAUGCUUUCACAAUCGGUGGGUGACCACGUUCGCUUUUUACAUUCCCUUCUGGAUUAUAAGCAGUAGUCAGUGAUAGUUUAACUCCACAUCUUUCAAAGAACUUACGAGCUUCUUGUGCAUUUAAUUCUCCACAAUCUGCAGUGAUUUUUCCUACGCACUCGUAACGGUAAAUGACAUCUUCAAGCAAAAACCUACAAAUCCCCUCUGUAGAUUUUGUCCUCAAUGCUCUUCCUUCUACUUGAUUUGAUAAAUCUUCACGAGCUAAAACCAAAUAUCUCAUCUGCUAUAACCCAACCGGCAUAAUAACCAAAUCAACAACCCAUUUAAAAUGAAUAGCCAAAGGAUGCGUAGGAUGAAGACCAUCUCGAUGUCGGAUAUUAGAAUACGAUUGACAGAUUUCACAUGACUCUACAAAUGAGAGCACAUCUCGAUACAUAUUUUUCCACCAAUAUCGUUCCUUGAGUUUAGCAAAAGUAGCCCAGAUUCUUCUAUGCCCUGCCCAUAAACUAUCCUGAAACUCCUUUAAUAAUUUUAGUUUUUCUUCCCUUUUGCCUAUCACUCGUUGUGGCAUCCCAAUUCCUUUCUUCGGUCUCUUCCAUAAGAAUCCAUCUCAAAGUAAAAAUCCAUAUGCUUUUUUUCUUAUUUGUUUGAAUUUUUUUGUAGACCAAUUCCCCUACUUAGUCUAGGUAUUCAAAUAAUGACCAAUAUCCAAUAAUUCUCCUUCAUAAGAUUCUUCAAGAAAUAGCUUGUCUUCCCUGUUGAGAUUUGAUAUUGAAUAGAAUUUCAAUCCAACAUCAUCAAUGUCUUCAACCAUUUUGUCCUCCCUCUCGUAUCUUACUCGAGAUAGCAUGUCUGCUACUAAAUUGUCCUUCCUAGUAACAUGCUUAAAUUCUGGAUUUAGUGACUUAAUAUAAGGAAUCCAUCUCAACAUUGCAAUAUCUAGCGUUGAACAGUUAAUAAUCAUUCCAAGCAAUGGCAAGUAAUCUGUUUCAAUUACUACUACUGCCCCAAUCAAAUAGUCCUUUUCAGCUUUCAUAGCCGAAACAACUCCCCAAAGUUCUCUUUUGACUUGCGAAUAUGCAGGCUGACGAAUACUUAAACUUUAGCCCCAAAUCGAACCGCAAAUCGAUUCCCAUUUGAAUCAUCUUGACCCACAGCCCAUCCAACGGCAAUUGGACUAGCGUCUAUAGUAAGAAUCACUGGUCUAUUGCACUUAUAAUCAACCUUCCUCAAUGUUGGAGGUGACAUCAAUAAUUUCUUCAAUCUUUGCAUUACUUGAAUAUGCCUUUCUUUCCAUUUAAAUCGGUAACCCUUGCGUAACAGUUCAUAUAAUGGAUCCGUUAUGUGAACAAAAUGAGGGAUCCAGAUUCGAUAAAAUACACAUGCACCUAAAAACCUGCGAACCUUUGUUAAAGAAUCACAAUCCUCUUUCAUCCUUCCAAUUGCAUCAACUUUAGUCGGAUCUGGUUUUCUUCCGUAAGAUCCACAUAAAUGUCCAACAAUUACAACCUCUCGUACUCCAAAUACGGACUUCAUACCCGAUAAUGUAAGAUGAACUUCUCCAAGCCGAGUUAAAAUCUUUUCACAAUCUUGUAUAUGAUCAACAACAUAUUUGCGACAUCCCCUCGUAUCUAAAGUUUCAUCCUUGUCUCCUUCUUUACACCUUUUUAUAGGAACAUCAUCCAGAAAAGGCAUAGUCUUUUCCAGAAUAAAAUCUCUCAAUACCUUAUUCAUCUCAUUCAUCAUAUGCGCAACUAAGUUGGUCGUGCCUUGAGGAAGAGUGCACAUUCUAAUCAAUCCAAGUGGCGUCUUCAUUGUUGUCAUAUCUCUACUUCCUUCAACAAGUUGAAAUUGAUCAUAACCGGAAUACAAGUCACCCAUUGAAUAGAUCGCCCUUCCAGCAAACGCCUCAGUAAAUUCAUCCACAAUAGGUCCAAUUCUUGCAUUCCUGACAGUUACUGCAUUUACCGGUGGCAUAUCUUGAAUAAACCGUAGUGACCCAUUCUUCUUAGGUACCAUAAACCAUCGACUAGAAUACGGUGCAAAUCAAGGUUCUAAUAUUUUCAUCUUUAUCUUUUCUUUUUAUAGUUCCACGAAUUUAGAUAAAUGUGCCCUCGGUAUUGGAAUCGGUCUUAGAUUCCAAGGUACAUGCGGUACAAUGAAGAUAACCAUAGAUGUUAUAAUAUUUGGAUCCACACACCCAAUUUCAUGAGAUUUGAAAGCAAAUGAUCUACCUUGUUUAGCCAACAUCUUUUUGAAGCAAGUAAUUUCCUCCGACAAUAAAGAACCAUCAGAACCAAUCUUCAAUUCUUCAAAAGUCUCUUUAGUAAACUAAUGUCCAAUACUCAUUGGAUUUCUUAAUCUUGCUUCUUUUGAUGCUUCUCUCAUUUAUUCUUUAGAAUCCUCUGGUAAUGGUCCGGCAACAGGCUUUACCUUCUUAUCUGUUGUUUUAUAUCUCGUCUCUAUAGUGACUUUUGGUGCUUCAAAAGAUUCAAGUACGGUGUAAACCUCUCUUGAAUGAAUCUCAAUAAUCUUAUCAUUAUCCCCUAAACCAAUAGAUGUAAUCAAUUCCAAUAAAUCUUCCAGUCCAUUUUCUUCAUAAACACCUAAAAUCCUCUCAUCAUCUUGUAAUGUACUUAACUUGCGUAAUUGUCCUUCAAUAUCAUAUAAUCUUUUUCUUUCUUUUCUUUAAAAUCAUCAACUUUCUUAUACAUAAUAUUUCCAUUCUCCAAUAUACCAAUAAAACUCGCAUCAAAGGCACCUUCAUCUCGCGAGAGUACCUCCUCUUUUGUACCUCCAUAAUCUCGCUUUACAGUGGACCUCUCCAAAAUCCUUAACUCCUUCAACAAUCUUUGGCAAUGGUUUCUCCCUCAACCUAUCUCGAUUCCGUUCAUGGUUACGAGGUAUUGUUAGAAAUUGUAUAGCUUUCCUCCCAUCUUCGCUCAGUAUCCUUGCAUAAGCAGAACCAUCGUCAAGUACUUUUGUUUCCAUCCGUGUUGCCGUAAUAUAAGGUUGUCCUAAAAUCAACGGAUAAGACGUUGUAUCUUGAACAAAGAAAUGUUGCUCCGUUGCAACAUCUCCAAUCCAAAUUUUGACAUCUGGACAAGCUCCAUAUAAUUCGCCUCGUGUGUUAUUAGCUGCUCGUAUUGCCCAUCCAUGUUCUAUGUCAAUUGGCCAUUUUUGUUUCUUAUAAAGAUCUUUAGACAUGAGAUUUAUUUCAGAAUCAUGGUCGACUAAAUCAACUAAUGGUUCUUCUAUAUCUCCUACUUUCACCAAUACCUCAGUAGUUGCCCUUGCCCAAUGCUUUCGAGUAUAAUGGCUUAAAAUUUCCAUUUCCUUGUCACUAUAAUCUCCGAAACGUAUUUGUUGAUUAUACCCAUUCUUUUCAUUUGUUGGUUGCUUGAAACCAAUAUCAACCUCUUCUUCAUCUCUACAUAUUCUUGUAUCAAUAGCAUGACUCAUUCCAGUUUCGCCCAUUAAUUGCCUCUUUCGCUUAAUGCUGUCAAUGAUAACAUCAUGAAACUCCUUCUUUGCAAUUUCCAAGACUUCUUUCAAUAUGAAUUCCACCUUAGCAUUUAAUAUACGUUCUUCCAACACCCCUUUUAAAUCUGUUGCCGCUUCAAUGUCAGAAAGUAGCUUAUAAGCAAUUGAUUUGCCCUUAUCUUUUGUCUCCUUUGUUUUUUCUCCCAAUGAUGCUGAGGUAUCCUUUAUAGGCAAUUUUUGUGAAGCUGCAUCCCGAGCCUUGUCUCCUCGAGUUUGCCUCUUAGAAGAAUUUUCUUCUCUCAUAUCAUCAAAAUUUCCUCGUCUCUUUUCUUCCAUCAAAGCUUUAUGUUGGCUCUUAGCAAUAUACGCAUGAACUGAAAGAGACUCAACAAGAUCCUCCCAACCUGUUCUACCUCAUAUUGUAGCUACAGUCCUCAAUAAUGCUUUUCGAGGUAAUUUUUCUUCUUGCAUUGUAGAAAUGGCAGAAGCCCAAAACUCACUAGUUUUCGUACUUCCACCAAUUUCAUCGUCUACUCUAGCACCAUAACUUGCACUUUCUCGUGCUGCUGUUUCAUGCUCUUUUAGGUAAUCUUGAACCAAUACUCUCAUUCCUCCCUUGCCAAAAUUGGUUUGAAGAAGAUCAUCCUUAUCUUUCAAUGCUAUCUUCCCAUCUUUCCAGUAAAUAAUUCCCUGUCGUAUCAUAUUAUUAAAUUCAUUGCAAUCUUUUCUAGUGUGUGAAGCAUCAUUACACCAAAUGCAUCUUUGUACAUAUCCUUGUUUUGAAACAUUCUUCGAAUUAUUUAUAGAAGUAUUCUCUUCAAGUCUUGCCAAUUUGAUUUGAAGAUCUUGCAUUCCUCGUAUAAUUUCUUCCAUCCCCAUAUCUGCUUUCUUUGAUAAGGAUGUCGAAGGUUGAAUUGUAGGCAUUGUUGGUGGUGUUGUACGUACUGGAGCUUUGGGUGCUUGUACUGUUUUCGGAAUAUUGCUCCUAUCCUUCCUCCUUUCUCUUUUUGUAAGCAACCCCACCGCAUCUUCAACGUUCUUCCACUUUAUUGUCAAUCCUUCAUCUUCUUCUUUGUCUUCAAGAAGGAGUUCUAAUUUCCCUAGCAAUUCUCCAUCAGCAGCUUGAAGAAAUAGAUCAACUUUGUUUGGCUCCAAUGUCAAUUUUUCUACCUUCGACAAUUGAGAGUACUGCCUCUCAAAUUUCCUUAGUAGCUCUGUUGCUUGUAAAUUCUUAUUGGGCCAUUCAAUCCAUUCCAGAAAUAGCUUCUUAGUAACGCGAUCAACAUCUUCGAAGAAAUAUUCGUCUUUCAAUGCAUGUGAGAAAACCUCCCAUGAAUUCCGAUAACGAUCCGUAAUCGAUGUAAUGUAGUCUCUUAUCUCCGGUAUCGUGGCAAGUCCAAAUAGUUCAACCAUUUUCUUCUCAGAAACCCGAUUUAAUUCCAUUUCACGAACAUAACAUCUUAAAUACCUUCAAAUAUUCCUUCCGUCAAAUUGAUCAAUUUUAUUGACCAUUGCUUGCAAUGCUUUGGUUGCCAAAGCUUCCUUUCAAUCAUUGCUUUGCUGUUGCUGCAUUGAUAAUGAGAAGGCUUGAAACAUACUAGCAAUAGACGGAUCCAUGUGCAUACCUUGUCCUUUAGAAGAAUCCCCACUAGAAACUCCUCCCAAAAAUCCUUCAAAAUUUUUAUUUUCGUUUUCCAUAAAAUAAAGAAAAAAUCAACCGAAAUCCAAUACCUUCCACCUCAAGCUUUCACGUCGGGUUCACCACUUUUGUUGUAUUACGUGCUUUCCUGCUCGAAAACGCGCUGGGCGUCUGUCACGGACAUACAUAUAAUUACAUAUAUGAAUAGAUAAAAGUAUGUAAAAGUAGGUUAAUUGUGUAAUAUCUUCUAGAGAAGCUUCUUAGAAGCUUCAUAGACGCUGCUUUGACUUUAUAGGAGUCUAUAGUUGACUUUUAGGUUAGAAACUUGGUCAACAAGUUAGCCAUGUGCCACGCAUGUUGGAAGCUUAAAGAACAAGCUAACUACGUGGUCCAUCCAUAGAAAACUUGCCUUGCAAGCAAAGGCAUGUGGCCUAGAAAGUCAACAUAUAUUGGAGGUCUUAUAGAACAUCGCCACGUGGCUUCUAGUUAGAUAGUAUAUAUAGAGGCAAGAGUGAAGCCCUCUUCACUCUUGUCAACUCCUUUCUUGCUUCUAGUCUAGUUUCAAGGAUCUCUAGUUUUCUUGUAUUUUGGCAAUAGCCAUUCCAGUUUCUUUCUUAAUAUACAUAUUUCUAUUUUGUCCUAUUUCUUUUUGAGAAAAGUCUCACUUACUCUUUAGCUUUCAUCGAGUUCUUGUCCUUGACAGCGUCUGACUAUAGAAGGUAGUAUGGAGAUUCAUCGAUAGUCAAGCAGUCUAUCAGUUUUUGACUGUUAGAAUAUAAACAACUGCAAGAAUACACCGUAAAUCUAUACAGAUGCCCUUCGACUGCUCGCCAAAGUCCUUUUUGUCCCGGCCGGAAGGUCUCUAAACGUUACAGAGAACCCCGAACAACCCAAACUGCUAAUCUUCGAUACCGCUUUAUACUCACGAUCUUGUAUCCACUGACUGUCUUGUUAGAUUAACCUAAUAAAUUUCAUUCACUUCGCAUAUUCAAUCCUAUAGACACCCUUUUAACUCUUCAUCACAGACGUAAUUCGAUUUUACAAAACAGUCAAGAGUAAUCAAACCCACUUCAUUAAAAAUCCCGAUUCACCAUUACAACACUGACUUCAGCAACGAUUGCCUCCAUCUUCUCAAAAUCCUAUGAAGAAAAAAAACCCAAUUCUCUGUCUUCUUUCCCUGCCCGAAGCAUGAAGCUAGCCCCCUCCUUCUUCAAAAAAAAAAAAAAAAAAAACCCCAUAAAAAAAACCUCCCCUAACCUUAUCCUCUGAAUUUCUUCAAUCUUCCGUCUUGGAUCCGAAAUUGGCUCCAGCAGUCAGAGCUUAGAUCCAAAAUUGGCUCUCACCAUCAGAGCUUUCUCCUCCGUUUUUACUUUUAAGAGAUCCAUUUACCGAAAAUAACGUUCUCUGAAACGGCAUAGAGAAUAGGACAGCCUGAAACAGAAUCGAAACCCUGUACUCGGGUCCACAUUGAGUCGCCUGACCAAUUCAGGUCUCAUAUUAGGUAAGAUGCCCAUAGUAACCUGGAUGUUCACGUAAUUGGGUCCAAUUGGUCCUCGCGUCAGAUCGGCUAAGAGGCCCAUAGUAAGACUGCAUUGGGUUGUCCGGCCAAUUCAGGUCUCAUAUUGGAUAAGAGGACCCGGAUUGGAUUCUUGAAAUUAGAUCCAAUUGGCUCUUCGAACCAGGCUCACCCGUCGUGUGAAUUGGUCCUUUUUCUUCCUACUGACUCCCGUUAUUGGAAUCGAACGAAGCAUUUCAGUAUGCCCCGGUGUUGUGUUGUAACACGAGUAUACAGUGAAAAUAAAAAGAAAGGAGAAUUUUAUUAAUAUUUAGGUACCUCGAAUAUUGGGAGCAACGACCAACUCCUAUACAAAGACUGAGUGGCCAGGUUCAGUCACCCAAUUACAAUCAGCCGGGGCAUACUGAAAUGCUCUAUUCAAUUCCAAUAACAGGAGUCAGUAGGAAGAGAAGGACCAAUUCACACGACGGGUUCGAAGAGCCAAUUGGAUCCAAUUUCGAGAAUCCAAUCUAGGUUACUACUCGACUCUUAUCUAAUAUGAGACAUGAAUUGGUCGAUCAACCCAAUGCAAUCUAAUUUCGAGAAAUCCAGGUCUUACUACGGGUCUUAGCCAAUUUGACGUGAGGACCAAUUUGACCCAAAUAUGCGAACAUCCAGGUUACUACGGGCAUCUUUCCCAAUAUGGGACCUGAAUUGGUCGUGCGACUCAAUGUGGACCCGAGUACGGGGUUUUGAUUUUGUUUCAGGCUGUCUUGUUCUCUGUGUCGUUUCAAGGAACGUUGUUUGCGGUAAAUGGAUCUCUUAAAGGUAAAAACGGAGGAGAAGGCCUUGAUGACGUGAGCCAAUUUCAGAUCUAAGCUUUGACGGCGGGAGCCAAUUUCGGAUCUAAGACGGAAGAUUGAAGGAAUUCAAGAGGAUAAGGUUAGGGGGAGAAUAAGUUUGAAGGGGAAUCGGUGGAGCGGCAGAAAGCUUUUGCAAGGUUAUUAGUUCGGUUUUCAUUGGAGGUUUUUUGGAGAUCAAGGAGAUUAGAGAGAGGAGCUUCAUGCUUCGGGUCGGGGAAAGAAAGACAUAGAAUUUGGAUUUUUUUCUUCGUAGAGUUUUGGGAAGACUGAGGCAAUCGCUGCUGAAGUCAGUAUUGUAAUGGUGAAUCGGGAUUUUCAAUGAAGUGGGUUUGAAUACUCUUGACUAUUUUGUGAAAUCGAGUUACGUCUGUGAUUGAAGGAUUAAAAAGGUGUCUAUAGGAUUGAGUAUGCGGAGUGAAUGAAAUUUAUUGGGUUAAUCUAACAAGACAGUCAGUAGAUACAAGAUCGUAAGUACAAAGCGGUAUUGAAGAUUAACAGUUUGAGUUGUUCGGGGUUCUCUGUAACGUCUAGAGACCUAUCGGCUGGGGCAAAAAGGACUUCGACAAGCAGUCAAAGAGCACCCGUAGAGAUUUACGGUACAUUGUUGCAGUCGUUUAUAUUCCAGCAGUCAAAAACUGAUAGACUGCUUGACUAUCGGUGAAUCUCUAUACUACCUUCUAUAGCCAGAUGCCUGGCGCGUUCUCGAGCAGGAAAGCACGUAAUACAACAAAAGUGGUGAAUCCGACGUGAAAGCUUGAGGUAGGAGGUAUUGGAUUUCGGUUGAUUUUAUCUUUAUUUUUAUGGAAAACGAAAAUAAAAAUUUUGAAGGAUUUUUGGGAGGAGUUUCCAGUGGGGAGUCUUCUAAAGGACAAGGUAUGUACAUGGAUCCGUCUAUUGCUAGUUUGUUUCAAGCCUUCUCAUUAUCAAUGCAGCAAAAGUAAAGCAAUGAUCGAAAGGAAGCUUUGGCAACCAAAGCAUUGCAAGCAGUGGUCAAUAAAAUUGAUUUAUUUGAUGGGAGGAAUAUUUCAAGGUAUUUAAGAUGUUAUGUUCGUGAAAUGGAAUUAAAUCGGGUUUCUGGGAAGAAAAUGGUUGCACUAUUUGGACUUGCCACGAUACCCAAGAUAAGAGACCACAUUACAUUGAUUACGGAUCGUUAUGGGAAUUCAUGGGAGGAUUUUUCACAUGCAUUGAAAGACGAAUAUUUCUUAGAAGAUGCUGAUCGCGUUACUAAGAAGCUGUUUUUGUGAUGGAUUGAACGGCCCAAUAAGAAUUUGCAAGCAACAGAGCUACUAAGGGAAUUUGAGAGGCACUACUCUCAAUUGUCGAAGGUAGAAAAAUUGACAUUGGAGCCAAACAAAGUUGAUCUAUUUCUUCAAGCUGCUGAUGGAGAAUUGCAAGAAAAAUUAGAACUCCUUCUUGAAGACAAAGAAGAAGAUGAAGGAUUGACAACGAAGUGGAAGAACGUUGAAGAUGCGAUAGGGUUGCUUACAAAAAAAGAAAGGAGGAAGGAUAGGAGUAAUAUUCCGAAAACAGUACAAGCAUCCAAAGCUCCAGUACGUACAACACCACCAACAAUGCCUACAGUUCAACCUUCGACAUCCUUCUCAAAGAAAGCAGAUAUGGGUAUGGAAGAAAUUAUACGAGGAAUGCGAGAUCUUCAAAUCAAAUUGGCAAGACUUGAAGAGAAUACUUCUAUAAACAAUUCGAAGAUUGUUUCAAAACAAGGAUUCGUACAAAGAUGCAUUUGGUGUGAUGAUACUUCAUACACUAGAAAAGAUUGCAAUGAAUUUAAUAAUAUGAUACGGCAGGGAAUUAUUUGCUGGAAAGAUGGGAAGAUAGCAUUGAAAAAUAGAGAGGAUCUUCUUCAAACCAAUUUUGGCAAGGGAUGAAUGGGAGCAUUGGUUCAAGAUUACUUAAAAGAGCAUGAAACAGUAGCACGAGAAAGUGCAAGUUAUGGUGCUAGAGUAGAUGAUGAAAUUGGUGGAAGUACGAAAACAAGUGAGUUUUGGGCUUUUGCCGUUUCUACAAUGCAAGAAGGGAAAUUACCUCGAGAAGCGCUAUUGAGAACUGCAGCUACAAUACGAGGUAGAACAGGUUGAGAGGAUCCUGUUGAGUCUCUUUCAGUUCAUGCAUAUAUUGCUAAGAGCCAACAUGAAGCUUUGAUGGAAGAAAAAAGACGAGGAAAUUUUGAUGAUACUAGAGAAGGAAAUUCUUUUAAGAGGCAAACUCGAGGAGACAAGGCUCGGGAUGCAGCUUCACAAAAAUUGCCUGUAAAGGAUACCUCAGCAUCAUUGGGAGAAAAAACAAAGGAGACAAAAGAUAAGGGCAAAUCAAUUGCUUAUAAGCUACUUUCUGACAUUGAAGCGGCAACAGAUUUGAAAGGGGUGUUGGAAGAACGUAUAUUAAAUGCUAAGGUGGAAUUCAUAUUGAAAGAAGUCUUGGAAAUUGCAAAGAAGGAGUUUCAUGAUGUUAUCAUUGACAGCAUUAAGCGAAAGAGGCAAUUAAUGGGCGAAACUGGAAUGAGUCAUGCUAUUGAUGCAAGAAUAUGUAGAGAUGAAGAAGAGGUUGAUAUUGGUUACAAGCAACCAACAAAUGAAAAGAAUGGGUAUAAUCAGCCAGAACGUUUUGAAGAUUCUAGUGACAAGGAAAUGGAAACUUUGAGCCAUUAUACUCGAAAGCAUUGGGCAAGGGCAACUACUGAGGUACUAGUGAAGGUAGGAAAUAUAGAAGAACCAAUAGUUACUUUGGUCGACCAUGGUUCUGAAAUAAAUCUCAUGUCUAAAGAUCUUAAUAAGAAGCAAAAAUGGCCAAUUCAUAUGGAACAUGGAUAGGAAAUACGAGCAGCUAAUAACACACGGGGCGAAUUAUAUGGAGCUUGUCCAGAUGUCAAAAUUCGGAUGGGGGAUGUUGCGACGGAGCAACAUUUCUUCAUUCAAGAUACAACGUCUUAUCCGUUGAUUUUAGGACAAUCUUAUAUCACGGCAACACGGAUGGAAACAAAAGUACUUGACGAUGGUUCUGCUUAUGCAAGGAUACUGAGCGAAGAUGGGAGGAAAGCUAUACAAUUUCUAACAAUACCUCCUAACCAUGAACGGAAUCGAGAUAGGUUGAGGGAGAAACCAUUGCCAAAGAUUGUUGAAGGAUUUAAGGAUUUUGGAGAGGUCCACUGUAAAGCGAGAUUAUGGAGGUACAAAAGAGGAGGUACUCUCGCGAGAUGAAGGUGCCUUUGAUGCGAGUUUUAUUGGUAUAUUGGAGAAUGGAAAUAUUAUGUAUAAGAAAGUUGAUGAUUUUAAAAGAAAAGAAAGAAAAAGAUUAUAUAAUAUUGAAGGACAAUUACGCAAGAUAGGUACAUUGUAAGAUGAUGAGAGGAUUUUGGGUGUUUAUGAAGAAAAUGGACUGGAAGAUUCAUUGGAAUUGAUUACAUCUAUUGGGUUAGGGGAUAAUGAUAAGAUUGUUGAGAUUCAUUCAAGAGAGGUUUAUACCAUGUUUGAAUCUUUUCAAGCACCAGAAGUCACAGUAGAGACGAGAUAUAAAAUGGCAGAUAAGAAGGUAAAGCCUGUUGUCGGACCAUUGCCAGAAGAUUCUAAAGAAAAAAUGUGAGAAGCAUCAAAAGAAGCAAGUUUAACAGAUCCAAUGAGUAUUGGACAUCAGUUUACUGAAGAGACUUUUGAAGAAUUGAAGAUUGGUUCUGAUGGUUCUUUAUUGUCGGAGGAAAUUUCUUGCUUCAAAAAGAUGUUGGCUAAACAAGGUAGAUCGUUUGCCUUCGAAUCUCAUGAAAUUGGGUGUGUGGAUCCAAAUAUUAUAACACCUAUGGUUAUCUUCAUUGUACCGCAUGUACCUUGGAAUCUAAGACCGAUUCCAGUACCGAGGGCUCAUUUACCUAAAUUGGUUGAACUAUAAAAAGAAAAGAUAAAGAUGAAAAUAUUAGAACCUUGAUUUGCACCGUAUUCUAGUCGAUGGUUUAUGGUACCUAAGAAGAAUGAGUCACUACGAUUUAUUCAAGAUAUGCAGCCGGUAAAUGCUGUAACUGUCAAGAAUGCAGGAAUUGGACCUAUUGUGGAUGAAUUUGCUGAGGCGUUUGCUGGAAGGGCGAUCUAUUCAAUGGAUGAUUUGUAUUCAGGUUAUGAUCAAUUUCAACUUGCCGAAGGAAGUAGAGAUAUGACAACAAUGAAGAUGCCACUUGGAUUGGUUAGAAUGUGCACUCUUCCUCAAGGCGCGACCAACUCAGUUGUGCAUAUGAUGAAUGGGAUGAAUAAGGUAUUGAGAGAUUUUAUUCCAGAAAAGACUAUACCUUUUCUGGAUGAUGUUCCUAUAAAAGGGUGCAGAGAAGGAGACAAGGAUGAAACUUUAGAUACGAAGGGAUGUCGCAAAUAUGUUGUUGAUCAUAUACAAGAUUGUGAAAAGAUUUUAACUCGGCUUGGAGAAGUUCAUCUUACAUUAUCGGGUAUGAAGUCCGUAUUUGGAAUACGAGAGGUUGUAAUUGUUGGACAUUUAUGUGGAUCUUACGGAAGAAAACCAGAUCCGACUAAAGUUGAUGCAAUUGGAAGGAUGAAAGAGGAUUGUGAUUCUUUAACAGAGGUUCGCAGGUUUUUAGGUGCAUGUGUAUUUUAUCGAAUCUAGAUCCCUCAUUUUGCUUACAUAGCGGAUCCAUUAUAUGAACUAUUACGCAAGGGUUACCGAUUUAAAUGGAAAGAAAGGCAUAUUCAAGCAAUGCAAAGAUUGAAGAAAUUAUUGAUGUCACCUCCAAUAUUGAGGAAGGUUGAUUAUAAGUGCAAUAGACCAGUGAUUCUUACUGUAGACGCUAGUCCAAUUGCCGUUGGAUGGGCUGUGGGUCAAGAUGAUUCAAAUGGGAGUAGAUUUGCAGUUCGAUUUGGGGCUAAAGUUUUAAGUAUUCGUCAGCGUGCAUAUUCGUAAGUCAAAAGAGAACUUUGGGGAGUUGUUUCGGCUAUGAAAGCUGAAAAGGACUAUUUGAUUGGGGCAGUAGUAGUAAUUGAAACAGAUUACUUGCCAUUGCUUGGAAUGAUUAUUAACUGUUCAACGCUAGAUAUUGCAAUGUUGAGAUGGAUUCCUUAUAUUAAGUCACUAAAUCCAGAAUUUAAGCAUGUUACUAGGAAGGACAAUUUAGUAGCAGACAUGCUAUCUCGAGUAAGAUACGAGAGAGAGGACAAAAUGGUUGAAGACAUUGAUGAUGUUGGAUUGAAAUUCUAUUCAAUAUCAAAUCUCAACAGGGAAGACAAGCUAUUUCUUGAAGAAUCUUAUGAAGGAGAAUUAUUGAAUAUUGGUCAUUACUUGAAUACCUUGACUAAGCAAGGGAAUUGGUCUACAAAAAAAUUCAAACAAAUAAUAAAAAAAGCAUAUGGAUUUUUACUUUGAGAUGGAUUCUUAUGGAAGAGACCGAAGAAAGGAAUUGGGAUGCCACAACGAGUGAUAGGCAAAAGGAAAGAAAAACUAAAAUUAUUAAAGGAGUUUCAUGAUAGUUUAUGGGCAGGGCAUGGAGGAAUCUGGGCUAUUUUUGUUAAACUCAAGGAACGAUAUUGGUGGAAAAAUAUGUAUCGAGAUGUGCUCUCAUUUGUAGAGUCAUGUGAAAUCUGUCAAUCGUAUUCUAAUAUCCGACAUCGAGAUGGUCUUCAUCCUACGUAUCCUUUGGCUAUUCAUUUUAAAUGGGUUGUUGAUUUGGUUAUUAUGCCGGUUGGAUUAUAGCAGAUGAGAUAUUUGGUUUUAGCUCGUGAAGAUUUAUCAAAUCAAGUAGAAGGAAGAGCAUUGAGGACAAAAUCUAUAGAGGGGAUUUGUAGGUUAUUGCUUGAAGAUGUCAUUUGCCUUUACGGAUGCGUAGGAAAAAUCACUGCAGAUUGUGGAGAAUUAAAUGCACAAGAAGCUCGUAAGUUCUUUGAAAGAUGUGGAGUUAAAUUAUCACUGACUACUGCUUAUAAUCCAGAAGGGAAUGUAAAAAGCGAACGUGGUCACCCACCGAUUGUGAAAGCAUUGGUUAAAGCUUGUAAUGGAAAAGUUAAACAGUGGCCACGGCUUUUGUCAUUUGCAUUAUGGGCUGAUCGAACAACACAUAGCUCGGUGACAGGAUAUAUGCUAGUAGAACUUAUGACAGGUCAAAAAUCAAUUAUGCUGAUUGAAGAAAAGGUACUUACUUGGAGUAUGCUACCAUGGGAAGAUGGAUUGAUAAGAGAAGAACUUCUGGCUAUUAGGAUUCGACAAUUGGAACAAAGAACAGAAGAUGUGCAGAUAGCAUUGGGAAGAUUGAAAAGAGCAAGGUUACAAAACAAGGCGCGAUUCGAUAAGCAACAUCGAUUGAGACCAAAAGUAGUCGAGGAAGGUGACUGGAUACUUGUUUAUGACAAUAGUCUGGAUAAUCAACAUAGUACUUUGCGGAAAUUCUCAAAACAUUGGUUUGGACCAUAUGUGGUAACAACUGUUCAUGAUAAUGCGACUUACUCAUUACGGGAGUUAGAUGGUACAAAAUUGAAAAUACCAAUUGUAGCGAAGCGAGUAAAAAUAUUUAAACGAAGACACGCAGAGAUGAAUAUGAAAGACCUUAAUGAAGGUAUAGAGAUUCCGCAGCAAGAAGAUGAAAGUGAUUUGGAUAAUGAAGGUGAUGAAGACGAACUGGACAAAGACGUAGAAGAUAUAUUCUGAAGCAAACAGCAAUUGGGUAAAUUGGUGCAUACCGGAGGAUGCACAGGUUCAGAGGGGAUGGAUGUCGUGUUGUAACACGAGUAUACAGUGAAAAUAAAAAGAAAGGGGAAUUUUAUUAAUAUUCAGUUACCUCGAAUAUCAGGAGCAACGACCAACUCCUAUACAAAUACUGAGUGGCCUGGUUCAGUCACCCAAUUACAAUCAGCCGGGGCAUACUGAAAUGCUCUAUUCAAUUCCAAUAACAGGAGUCAGUAGGAAGAGAAGGACCAAUUCACACGACGGGUUCGAAGAGCCAAUUGGAUCCAAUUUCGAGAAUCCAAUCCAGGUUACUACUCGACUCUUAUCUAAUAUGAGACAUGAAUUGGUCGGUCAACCCAAUGCAAUCUAAUUUCGAGAAAUCCAGGUCUUACUACGGGUCUUAGCCAAUUUGACGUGAGGACCAAUUUGACCCAAAUAUGCGAACAUCCAGGUUACUACGGGCAUCUUUCCCAAUAUGGGACUUGAAUUGGGCGGGCGACUCAAUGUGGACCCGAGUACGGGGUUUUGAUUUUGUUUCAGGCUGUCUUGUUCUCUGUGCUGUUUCAAGGAACGUUGUUUGUGGUAAAUGGAUCUCUUAAAGGUAAAAAUGGAGGAGAAGGCCUUGAUGACGUGAGCCAAUUUCAGAUCUAAGCUUUGACGGCGGGAGCCAAUUUCGGAUCUAAGACGGAAGAUUGAAGGAAUUCAAGAGGAUAAGGUUAGGGGGAGAAUAAGUUUGAAGGGGAAUCGGUGGAGCGGCAGAAAGCUUUUACAAGGUUAUUAGUUCGGUUUUCAUUGGAGGUUUUUUGGAGAUCAAGGAGAUUAGAGAGAGGAGCUUCAUGCUUCGGGUCGGGGAAAGAAAGACAUAGAAUUUGGAUUUUUUUCUUCGUAGAGUUUUGGGAAGACUGAGGCAAUCGCUGCUGAAGUCAGUAUUGUAAUGGUGAAUCGGGAUUUUCAAUGAAGUGGGUUUGAAUACUCUUGACUAUUUUGUGAAAUCGAGUUACGUCUGUGAUUGAAGGAUUAAAAGGGUGUCUAUAGGAUUGAGUAUGCAGAGUGAAUGAAAUUUAUUGGGUUAAUCUAACAAGACAGUCAGUAGAUACAAGAUCGUAAGUACAAAGCGGUAUUGAAGAUUAACAGUUUGAGUUGUUCGGGGUUCUCUGUAACGUCUAGAGACCUAUCGGCUGGGGCAAAAAGGACUUCGACAAGCAGUCAAAGAGCACCCGUAUAGAUUUACGGUACAUUGUUGCAGUCGUUUAUAUUCCAGCAGUCAAAAACUGAUAGACUGCUUGACUAUCGGUGAAUCUCCAUACUACCUUCUACAACCAGACGCCCGACGCGUUUUCGAGCAAGAAAGCACGUAAUACGACACCGGCUGACUGUAACGGGAUGACUGAACUUGGCCACUCAGUAUUUGCACUGGAGUUGGUCGUUGCUCUCAAUAUUCGAGGUAACUGAACAUUAAUAAAAGUCCCCUUUCUUUAUAUUUUCACGGUAUACUCGUGUUACAACACGACACCAUGUCAUAAAUUUAGUAUCUAUAAAAUCUUCCAAUUGUAUAAAACCAUUUGGAAAUUCGUCAAUAAUUCAAUAUCGCCCAUGUCAUCAAACUUGAAAUUUUCUUGGAAAUUUUUUAAAUCGACUAUUAUAAAGAAGUACCAAAUUAUUUGGCAUAAGAGCCUUUGGUCUAAGCUUACCAUCAUAAUAAAUCUUCCUUCAUUUUUGUGUAGUUUCUAUUAUCAUUAAUGCAUUGGCUGUAGUUUCAUCUAAUUUUUUUAAUUCUUCUAAAUGGUGCCGUAAUGAAUCCUGAUCUUCCAAUCUAUUAUCUAUAGCAAUUCGUAAACUUUGGACAUCCAAUUCAAUAUGUAAUAUUUCUUCUUGGCCAUAAACCAAUUGAAAAGGGAUAGCAUUGGUAGUAACUUUAUACGCAGUACGGUAUGCCCAUAAAGCUGCGAACAACUUAGUGUUCCAAUCUGUUCCCACUCCUGAAACUGUUUUUGUUAAGAUUUUACAUAAAAUUCCAUUAGUCUUUUCCGUUUGUCCAUUGGCUCUAGAGUGAUACGGUAUAGUCUUCCGAUAUUUUAUCUCAUAUUUAGCCGUGAGUUCUUCGAUUGUACUAUUGAUAAAAUGAGUUCUCCAAACACUAACCAAUUCUUGUGGACAACCAAACCGUUGUCGUGUUAUAACACGAGUAUACAGUGAAAACAAAAAAAAGAAGGAGAAUUUUAUUAAUAUUCAGUUACCUCAAAUAUUGGGAGCAUCGACCAACUCCAGCGCAAAUACUGAGUGGUCAGGUUCAGUCACCCCAUUACAGUCAGCCGGGGCAUACUGAAAUGCUCCGUUCGAUUCUAAUAACGGGAGUUAGCAGGAUGAGAAGGACCAAUUCACACGACGGGUUUGAAGAGCCAAUUGGAUCCAAUUUCAAGAAUCCAAUCCCGGUCCUCUUACCCAAUAUGAGACCUGUAUUGGUGGGGCAAUCCAAUGCAGUCUAGUUACGGGAAAAUCCAGGUCUUACUACGGGCCUCAGCCAGUCUGACGCGAAGACCAAUUUGACCCAAUUACGCAAGCAUCCAGGUUACUACGGGCAUCUUACCCAAUAUGAGACUUGAAUUGGUCGGGCGACUCAAUGUGGUCCCGAUUACGGGGUUUCGAUUCUGUUUCGGGCUGUCCUGUUCUCUGUGCCGUUUCAGAGAACGUUGUUUACGGUAAAUGGAUCUCUUAAAGGUAAAAACGGAGAAAAAGGCCUUGAUGACGUGAGCCAAUUUCGGAUCUAAGCUCUGACGGCGGGAGCCAAUUCCGGAUCUAAGAUGGAAGAUUGAAGAAAUUCAGAGGAUAAGGUUAGGGGAGAAUAUAGUUUUAGGGAGGGAGGUUUUUUUUGGGAGAAUCGGGGGGGAGUUAGUUUUUCAAGCUUUUGCAAGGUUACCAGUUCGGGUUUCAUUGGAGGUUUUUGAAGAUCAAAGGAAUUAGAGAGAGAAGCUUCAUGCUUCGGGUCGGGGAAGGAAAGACAUAGAAUUUGGAUUUUUCUUCUUCGUAGAGUUUUUGGGAAGACUAAGGCAAUCGCUGCUGAAGUCAGUGUUGUAAUGGUGAAUCGAGAUUUUAAAUGAAGUGGGUUUGAAUACUCUUGACUGUUUUGUAAAAUUGAGUUACGUCUGUGAUUGAAGGAUUAAAAGGGUGUCUAUAGGAUUGAGUAUGCGGAGUGAAUGAAAUUUAUUGGGUUAAUCUAACAGGACAGUCAGUGGAUACAAGAUCGUAAGUACAAAGGGGUAUUGAAGAUUAACAAUUUGGGUUGUUCGAGGUUCUCUGUAACGUCUAGAGACCUACCGACUGGGGCAAAAAAGACUUCGACAAGCAGUCGAAGAGCAUCCGUAUAGAUUUACGAUAUAUUGUUGCAGUCGUUUAUAUUCUAGCAGUCAAAAACUGAUAGACUGCUUGACUAUCGGCGAAUCUCCAUACUACCUUCUACAGCCAGAUGCCCGGCAUGUUCUCGAGCAGGAAAGCACGUAAUAUGACACCGUGUAAUAAUAUUUUCAUACAAAAAGGUUUCUACUGUACUUGCACUAUCAAUUUUCAUAGCUACUGCUUCAGUCCUUUUUGUUACGUAAUCCGUUACUUCUAAUAUAUACCAUUUUUGCCCAUUUCUCGAGGCUAGUGUAAUUGGUCCCACAAAAUCAAUUCCCCAUUUUUCAAAAGGUGCUUGAGCCAAAAAUGGUACUAAUGGCAUUGCUGAAGUUCCAGUAGGUCGACCCGUUCUCCAACAUAGGUCACAAUGAUGGACAAAUUGGUGGGCAUGUGCAAACAUUGUUGUCCACCAAUAACCAGCUUGUAAAGCUUUACGAGCCGUGUUGUCCCCCACAAAAUGUCCACUACAACUGUCCAAGUAGCAACCUUUCAAUAUAAUAUACACUUCAGUCUAAUAAAUACAACAUCGUAAAACUCCGUCCUUACCUUGUUUAUAUAAAGCUUCACCAAUCAUCGUAUAAGGUACACAUUUUAAUAUUAAGCAUCGUUUAAGCUUUUCAUUGAAAUUGGGUGGGAAGGUUUGAAAUGUCAAGUAUUGAAUUAUUUCACUAUACUCUAGAGUAAUUACAUCUAUUACAAAUAGUUUUGCAUUGGGUAGUGCAUCGUUAAUGGAUUCAUUAUCCAAUAUAUUGGAUAACCGAGAUAAAUGGUCCACAUUGGAAUGUGAUUUUCCUGAUCUUACUUGAAUAGUAAAGUCAAAUUCUUGCAAGAGUAGAAUCCAUCGUGUAAUAUGACCACUCAAGUGAGGCUUAUUAAUCAUAUAUUUUAAAGCAUCAUGGUCAACAAGGAAAAAAAAUUUAUAACCAAGAAGAUAAUGUCGAAACUUUUGUGCGGAAUAAAUCAUUCCCAAUACUUUUCUUUCAGUUGUUGUAUAAUUUCUUUCAACUGCUACCCAUUGACGACUUGCAUAAUAAAUAGGGUGAUCAAAAUCCCAGUCAUUUUUCUGGCUUAGCACAGUACCAAUUGCAGCAUUAGAUGCAUCCACAUAAACUUAGAAUAUUUUUGUCCAACAAGGUGCCACCAAUAUUGGUGCUGAAACCAAUUUUUGUUUCAAUGUUUCAAAUGCAAUUGUACAUUCCUUUGUCCAAAAUGGACUGGUCCCAUUGAUUGGUGGUUUCUUCAAGAGAUUUGUCAAAGAAAGGUAUAUAAUUACGAAUAGAUAGAUAAAUCACUGAUAAUAACUGACAUGGCCAACAAAUGCUCGAACACCUGUAACAGUGUCUAAUUGCUUUAAUUCUAAUAUAAUCUUUAUUUUAUCUGGAUUUGUAGCAAUGCUUGCCAUCAAAACUAUAUGAUCCAAUAGUUUACCAGAAGGUAUAUCAAAUUGAUACUUUUUCAAAUUUAAAGAAAUUCUAUAUUUGGCACAUUGAUUCAAACAUUGACCUAGACAUUCUAAAUGUAUGUCUCUUGUACUAAAUGUACAAAAAUCAUCUAAAAAUAUUUCCAUUGAAAUUCGUAGAUAAUCUUGGAAUGCUUGUGUCAUUAUCCUUUGAAAUGUAGUUGGUGCAUUACAAAGCCCAAACGGCAUAACCUUAUAGGCAAAGGUCCUCCAAUCCAUAAUAAAAGUAAAUUUUAACUAGUCUUCUUUUGCAAUCUUAACUUGAUCAAACCAGAGAAUCCAUCAAGAAAUGAAACACAUUCAUGUCCAACGACAGCAUCCAAUAUACUAUCUAUGAAUGGUAAAGGAAAAUAAUUCCUCUUAGUAGUUGCAUUUAAUUUUUGAAAAUCUUGAUACAUGUAAACUUUUCCAUUCUUUUUCGGUACCAUAACAAUCGGUAAAACCCAUUCACUAAAAAGAACUAGAUAGAUAAAUCCAACCUCCAAGAGUUUAUUCAGUUCUUCUUUUAACAUAAGUGAGUAUUUUGGAUUAAGUUGAUGUUGUCUUUGGUAUACUGGUAUAGCGUUCUCUUCCAAUAUAAUUUGAUGCUCACAAACUUCAGCUAGAAUUUCUUUCAAAUCCGCAUAUGACCAUGCAAAAGUAGUUUUAUGCAUCAAAAAGUAAUCCAUCCAAAUUUCUUUCUCAUUGCUUUUUAUACCAUCGUAAAUCUGAAUGAUUUGGGGAGCCUACCCUGUACCUAAAUUAAUUGGUUGACAUCGUGGAAUUUCAGAAGUCCAUGGACUGAUGUUCUGCUCAAUUCUAAAAUCUUUCAUAAAAUUCGACACAUUAGAACUUUCCAACUCCAGUUCCAUAGCACUAACGUGAUUAACAUCCCAUCUAUUCAUCCAAUAUGCAAUCAUAUGAUCAGAAUCAUCAAUAAUAUCUGGAAAAACUAAGUACUCUUUCGAUCCCCUGCAUUGGUAGUUUACUCUAGUAUACUCGACAACUUGCCUUGUAUCAGCAUAAAUUGGAGCAGGUGCACCAAUUUCUUCUUCUAUAGACUCAUCUUCACAAUCCGACGUGAAUUUUGAACUUACAACUUGAGUUUUUUUGUAAUAUUGGACUGGGUAUAUUCAAAGCACAAUUUUAUCAUUACCUUUUUUAAUUGUCAAUGUACUAUAGCCGUAGUCAUUUUGAACUUUAGCUUGAUUCAACCACGGUUGCUCCAAUAAAAUUGGAUAUGAGAAUAUAGAGCUUUGCAAUCAAAAAAUAAUAUAAUCAAUUUUAUAGGUAAUCCCCAAAUUUACUGUAUCAAUACUUCGUAAAAUAUCUAUAGAUUUAACUCGACUAAAGUCAGCCAUUCGCAAAAUCACUGUAAUAGGCAGUAAGUGAUCUAAACCCAACUCCUAUAUUGUAGCGGCAUUCAUAAGAUUUAUACUAGAUCCUCCGUCUACUUGCACUCCUAAUAAUAAUACUCCAUCAAUUGAGACAUUAAUCGUAGGUGCACAUAGAUCGGGAUUCAAACUUACUUCUCGGAUUUCUUUAUUUCAAGAUCUAUGAAGAAUUAAUGAAAAAUUCAAGAUAGUUCGACACUCAGGUGCUACCGCCAAUAAUUGCUUCAUGGAGAUCGUGGACUAUAUGGUUCCCAAAUCUUUUAGAAUAUCAUAUGGUUCUAUAUUAGUAGUAAUUCUCAAUGUCCAUUUUUUCUUCCCAGUCUUAAACACCGACACAGGUAAAUUAGUUUUUUCUAUAUUGGAAAUUGAUAAAGCUCCUGGAAUUGAAUUUGAUAGAGUCUGUAAAAUCAACUCUUUCAAUAGGUAAGAUUGUUCUCUCAAUUGGGCUGAUAUUGGUUCUUUGGAAUUCAUGCGUCUUAAAGAUCUUUCAAUGGAAAGGAUAUUUUCCUAAACUGUGUAGAGAACGAAACAACUCGACAUGGAACCGAAGCCUCUGUAAUUGGUACCUCAUUGAGAUGCACAACCGAUUCAGGUCUUACAUUGAGUAAGGGACCCAUGUCAGGACAUGGAUUGGAUGUCCUCGUAAUUAGAUUCAAUUAGUCCUUUGCUUCAAGAUCACCCAAAUGUUCAAUUGGUCAUUUUUCUUUUUGUUGACUUCUUGUAAGGACAGCUUGGAUUACUUCUACCUGAUGAACUGGUGAAUCUUAAGGACCUUGAUUUAUCUCCUCCAUUUUUCCUUAGCUUUGGAUCUGUUGAUCUCGAUUAUUGAAAUUGAAUGGAGCAUUACAUUGCUGAUAAGUAUGUCCCGACUGCUUGCAAUUUACACAUACUAGAGCAUAAUUAUCACUGGCUCUAGGAUUGGGACAUUCACUAGCAUAAUGACUAAUCUGUUUGCAACGAAAACAACAAAGUAGUCUUCUUGCACCUCCAUCCGACAUAUUAGGUGUCUCCACUAGUAUAUACCUACUAGGCUUGUUCCAUGUAGGAUUAGAAAAUGAUCUUGAUUGUCCCGUAGGAUACUUGGUUCGAUGACACCGGUAGAGUAUAUUGCUAAUACCUCUGCUGCUCCUUCUUGUAGUUCUGAGAUUUUGAUUCAAACCUCUAAUUAAAAUUGGAACUAUGAAAAUUAUUGAAUGUUCAAUUUUAUCGAUUAGAUCGAUUUUCAUUCCAUGCACACGUAUUUUUUGUUUGAACUUGAUUGACUUUCUAUUGAGUCGAUGGAAUCAUGGUUUGAUUACUAAAUUAUUAUUGUCUUUGUAAAUGCUAGCAGUUUUGGGUAGGGUGCUUUCCUCUACAAAAUAUACAUUGAACACACGUUUAUCUGGGUGAUGGACAUUCCGUAUCAAAAUGACCUUGUUCCUUACAAUUAUUACACCAUACAUUAGGUCUCGUAUUAAAAGGCUUAUGUCAUUUCUCCUUAUCUUUAGCCAAAUUCAAGGCCAAUUCUUCCAUCUUCUUUAUUAGAUUUAAUAACAAGGCUUCAUUUGGAUCUUUAAUAGUUUCAUUUGUGAACAACUCCAGUUGUUGAUAGGUUGGCGAUGUAAAAUAAGGUGUCAUCAUUAUUGGCGCUAUUGCUUAGAGUGGUAUAGCAUUAAUUGGUUGUUGUAAUAUAACAUUCUUCACAUUGGAGGCAGCCAUUUGUGGAUAAUUAUCUAUUGACACAUUUCCCAAUUAUAUUUGUUGGCUUCCUGAAUUUGGAAUCAUCGUGGCUUUCACUGUUAACAAUUGGUCAUAAUGACAUUCUUUCUACAUCUUUGUUCAUGCCAAUGAUGCCUCUACCAUAAUAGAUCGAGCCUCUUUUACAAACAUUUUCAAUUCAGGUAGAUACUAACCGUUAAUUAAUAUCGACAAUAUAAACGCAUCUAGCAUUUGAUUAUUUGACCAUUUACAAAGUAUAUCCAUGAUCUGGCCAUAAUAGGACUCUAUGGAUUCCCUCUCAAUCAUCUUACAAUUCAUAAAACUUUCUCUAAGUCGAUCUUCAAAUCUAAUUGGUCUAAAAUGGAUUAAGAAGGCAUUCUUCAAGGCCUCUCAAUUAGGAAAUCUAUCCACUAGUUGUCAAAUAUACCAUUCAAAAGCUGUAUCUUUUAAAUUUAUUAACAAUCAUCUCAACCAAAUGUCUUCAGUUCUACCAUUAUUAGCCACGUAUACUUUCAAGAAUUGAGAUAUAUGGUGAUCGAGAGCAGAGCCCGACCAACUACUAAAAGUAGUUAAUGGUGCCACACUUGUAGUUCGAUCUCCUACUGCUCCCAUUUAUACUGCAAUUGAUACUUCUGGCACUCCCGUGGCUAUUGGUAUUAUCACUGGUCUCCUUAUUAUUUGAAUCUGAAUUUUUCUUCUUUUGAUUUUUUUUGGACCUGCAAUUCUUUUUGGUCGUUCCCAUAGGCUAUUUCUUAUGCAUAAUUGCUCUUGCCUUUCUUUCACUUGUUGAUUAUAUCUUUGAUAAUCCUCUCCUCCGUAAUUAUCACUCAUAAUCUUUCAUUCUUCUUUACAAAAUCAAUACAGCCUUGAAUUAUAAUUCAUAUAUUUGUAACCCUAAAACUGGUUCUUCUCACAUUCUCAUUCAACAUAUAAUUCCAUCUCCCAUACAAUCAAUUUCUAACAUUUCAUAUUAUUAUCAUUUCCCUGACAGCGGUGCCAAAGUGUUGUUUUCAUUGCGUUCAAGCUUCAGUAGACCAAAGCAAUUGAACUAAUAGAGGUGGGUUCGAAUACGGGGAAAGAUUAGUUCUAUGAAUUGGAUCUGUUAAUGUGACAAUUGAUUGUAUUCUGGCUAUCUGAAAUCAAGUAUCAAACUACAAAAUAUCGAGGCUUACUACUUCCAUCUUAAUUCAAUCCAUAAUCCAUUCUACGAUUAUCAAUUCAACAAUACUUCUCUCAAUCACCAUUCUUCAUAAUCAAAUAAUAAAGAAAACAAAGAGGUAGUACCAAGCUUACCCCGACUUAUGACUCUCAGUUUGGCUCUCAAUCUCUUUUUCUUCAACCUAUUUAUCCUACCAAAAAGAUGAUCUGUCGGCCAACGGAUUCCAAAGGUUAUGAUCCUUUGAAUUCUUAAUCAUUUAUUCUACUAACAACCUAUUGUUACCAACUAAACUGCCUAACCAUCAGUCUAAUUUUCAGGGUUGUCAAUAACCAACCAGUAACUUACCACAAAGUUUAUUUAUCUAUUCUAUAGGGAGAUUCAAUACUAGUUUGAAGUUUUCUAUGUCACAUCUUGUAUUUUUAUUUUUUUGUGUUGAUAUUUAUAAAGAAGCUAGAUAUAAUUGUAAACUUUUUAAUAAGCUAAAGCACUAAGAAAUAGAGCUAAGAAGGAGUUUCAAGCAAAUUUAUAAAAAGGGGGUUGCUAGAAUUUUCAAGAGGGAGAUUCAACAUUGAUUUGGGAUUUUUUAUGCCACUUCUUGCAUUUUUAUUUUUUUGUAUUGAUAUUUAAAGAAAAGCUAGAUUGGAUUGUAAGCUUUUUAAUAAGCCAUAGCAUGUAAAAAAUGAAGCUAUAGAGAAGGAAAUCUAAGCAUAUUUGUAGGAAGAGAUUGCAAGAGUUUUCAAGCAAAAAAUUUCAAAACUAAAUUGAGGUUAUCUAUGCCAUUUAUUGGAUUUUUUUUUCUUUAUUUUAUUUUCAAUGAGCUAAAAUUUAUUUAAAUUGAAUUAAUAAUAAGUGAAUCAUAGAUAUUUUUGUAAAAGAGGGUUUGGAUUUGAGAUUAGAAUUAGAGAUUGGCUGCAUCCUAGUACAAGAAUAAAAUUAAUCUAUAAAUUAUACCUAGCCUUUAAGCUACUCUUAAUAUUUGAUUUUAUUUGGAUUAAUAUUGUACCUUCUUGUAACCUACUUAUGAUCAAAGUCAUUUUUUUCUUCUAAUAAGGCUUGUCUUCUUAAUAACAUUAAAAAUAUAUAAAAAAUUUCAUCCUAAGAGUAUUAACAAGCUUGUAAAGAUUUGUAAUAGUUACAUAUCUAUUUUUAUUUUUUUGAGUGCAACAUAUAUAAUUUUUUUUCUAUCUUUAUAAUAAAUGACUUUAAUAAAUCUACAAGUCAAAUUAAAAGAUGGUAAUUUGUAAUUUCUAAUAUUUAAAAUAAAAUUAGAUAUAAGAAAGGCAUUCAUAAGAAUAAAGAAAGCUUUUGAAAUGGGACUAUAUUCUCUUAAAGAUCCAAAAUCCUUUUCGUCUAUAGAAAUAUAAAUUCCAUCACAAAAUAGAAUAAAAUAGAUUAGAAAAAAAUUAAAUAAAACUAAAUAGAAUAGAACAUGAAAGAUAAAAUAGAUCAAAAAAAUUGGAAUAGAACAGAAUAAAAAAUACAAAUAAAACUUUAUUGAAAAAAAACAAAGCAAUAAUUGACCAAAUGCCUCAAAUGGCCUUAAUUAGUCCUAUUUAUAUUUUUUCCAACCAUCUUAAAACUUUUUAGAAUAUUGUUAAUGGAAGGUCCUACUAAAAUAAAUCUUUUUAGAAGAUUUUAGAUAUGAGCCAUAUCUUAAUAAUUGUUCUUUUAGAAGGUUCUAAAAAUGGAUCUUACCUUAUUAAUUAUCCUUCUAUAAGGUUUUAGAAUGUGGGCCUUACUUGAAUGACUACUUUUAAUUCUUCUAUGAUGUUCUAUAGUAGAUCCCAUAUAAACCACCAACCUAAUUCUAAUUCAAAUUAUUUCUAGAAAUUUUUCAAAAAUAGUCCCAAUUACCUACUCCUAUAUAUUAAUAAUAUAAUUAUCUAAUCUAUAUCUCAUUACAAUUAAUUUCCUUCCACUAAUACAAAACGUCCUUGUUUUGCUUCCAAUGAUACCUUUAGAUUAUUUUUUAUUAAUGGGUAAGGUUAUGUAUAAGUUUUCACAUUAGAUGUAUCUCAACAUGUGUAUGUUGAUUGCACAUACUAUCAUGUGUUGUAGUAAUAAAGCAUUGCAUCUGUUCUGUUGCAUCUAUCAUCUCCAAUGUGCCAGCUUUGUGCAUAUCAUCAACUGUGGUGUUGCUACAGACUAGUGCACUCCCAUUAGUACAUAUCAACAGAGGUCUACUGUAUCUACCUCUAGUUGUCUGAAUAUGUAUUUCUUUAUCUCAUGAGUAGUAUGCGGAUACGAGCAUGAAUGCUUCUCCCUUUCUCUUGUAUGCCUUUAUACUUCUAAGUAUGCUGUCCUUUGAUGUCCUUGCAACAAACAGUCCAUUGAUAAACAGAGCAUCGUUCCCUUGUGGCAAUACACCAAGAUGAUUUAAGACAUCAUCUGGAUCAACGUAAGGUGUUAUUGUACAUGUUGAUGACAAGUACUUAACAGCGCCUACAUCAGGACCCUCUGUUGUUUCACAAGGACAUAUAUAUCCAAGCUGAGUUGGAUGUAUUUGUCUCAUUAUAGCACUUGCUCUUUCUUUGGAACUAAUCUCAACUCUCCUAACAUGAGACAAUGAAUGAAGAGUUGACUUUGAUGACAAGACUUGAGAUAUAGUUCUUUUGUUAUCACCUUGGGUGUAGCCUUCCCAUACGCCUGUCUUAAAGUUGUUUUGGAUAUCCUUUGAUAUUCGAUUUAGUGCGCUUACUAUCACUGCUUUCUGCUUACUGUUGCUUCUUAUCUUUUGCUGAUUCAGCUUGUUGAUCCUCUUCUCUAUGCACCUCUUUACAAUGUCCGCUGGUGUAUGCACACAUUUAAAGCUCAAGCAGUCCCUAUCAUCUUCUUGUCUGAGUGAUAGUAUAGUUUCUAUAAACCUGCAUAUCAUCAACGAUAGCAUCUUUACCUUCUUGUCAUCAUUAAGAGUUGCUAAGAUUCUUUCUGUUGAAUGUACGACGUUACUAUCAAGCGUAGUAGCAUCCAAUUGUAAUUCUAAAAGAAGUCCUGAUACUUCCUUUGGAUGAUCGGUCCAUGAUAAUAUCUCUCGUUUUGCACUAGCAAUGGUCUUUCGAAGGACUUUCAUUACAGCAAAGAUGUUCACAAGGUUGUUAUGUGAUAGAGAGACCUUUAAUACUCCGUUGACCAUAUAGAUUUCGCAAUGACAUUUUGAUAGUUGUAGCUCACACUUUUCUUUUCGUGCUAGGUACCUGAAGGUGUAGUUUCUCUCUUGACACAUAAGGACCUUCCUUCUUCCUUCUAUAACAAACGAUCCUCUUAUAGCUGAUGCUUCCUCUAAAGGUUUAUAGCAGCAACCAAUAGGAACAGGGAUGGUGAGUACUACUCUAUCAUCUGCUAUGAUGCUACAUUCGUAUGUACUUAGAGUGUUGAUACACUCUUGAUACAUCUUCUGAUUGGAAGAGACAUACACGUUAUUGAAGAUCUUACUAUUAUCAACUAUUAUGUUCCUGAUUAGAUCUACAAUGUAGAGCAUCAUAAUGUCAUACAGCUUAACAAUGCCGCUGUCCAUUCCAAUGCUUUCUAUAAACCUUGAUAGACUCAUUUAUUGUGCCUCGUAUGUAUCAGGUGUGAACAUAACUACGAGCGCGAGUAUCUCACAUAAUUACCUUUAGUUAUGUAUGUAUAACUUUCUUUUUAAUUUUUUAUACAGUUAGUGCUAGUAAGUAUUUACCAAUACCACAAUGGCUAGCCAGCUCGAGACUAUAUCCUUCUCGUUCUACUCUAUGGAGGAGAUCACUCAAAUAUCUUCAAUACGAAUUAGUAAUAAAGAUGAUAUAGGUUCCCCUACUCUAGGAACAGGAGCUUUGAUAUACUGUUCUGUAUGUUCUGAUCCAAGACGUUGUCCAGGACAUACAAGAUUUAUACAAUUCAAAGAACCAAUAUUUAAUCCAUUAUGUUUAAAAGAAAUAAUAAAAGUCGCAGAGAUGGUAUGUCCUAGGUGUAGAUCAUUUAACUCUAUAGGAAAGGUCAAAGGGAAGAAAGUAUGUUCUAAUUGUAACGAUUACGCAAGAGUGUAUACGUUUGAUCCAAAGAAGAUGUCUCUUGUUGAUAAGAAGGAACCAAGCUAUACUAUAUCAGCAGCUGUUCUGAAAAAUAUAUUUAGUGCUUUGUCAAACGAUCAAAUAAGAUUUAUGAGCUACAACCUAUCGAGUCCUAAAGAUUUCAUAAUGAAUCAUAUACCUGUUGUUCCUAAUUGCAUAAGACUCUCUUCAGGACUUGAGGACAGCCUCGCUAGACUGUACAAUUCAAUACUAAGAAACAAUGGUAAUGCUUAUGUUGUAUACAAAGACUACUAUACAAUAAUAGAAAAGGAUUCAUUUGAAAAUAAUGAAGGGUCUGUAAUAAACAGAAUAUCUGGAAAGCAAGGUACAUUUAGAAGAUACAUUCUUGGUAAGAGAAACAAGCAUUGUGCAAGAGCUGUGAUAACUCCUGAUUCCAAUAUAGAUGUUGAUGAAGUAGAUAUUCCUUUGUCUUUUUGUAAUAACCUUAAAGUACAGAAAGAUGGAGAUUACGUACUACUCAAUAGACAACCCUCUCUUCAAAGGAUGUCCCUUAUGGCUUUUAGAGCAAGGAUGAUGCCUGAUUCUUGUACCAUAAGAAUCAAUCCAUCUGUCUGUCCAGCAUUCAAUGCAGACUUUGAUGGAGAUGAGAUGAACAUAUUUUGUGCAUCGUCAUACCCAUCUAAAGCAGAGUGUGAUGUACUCCUUGCUGUUGACAAGUGCAUCCUGUCACCCCAGAAUUCGAUGCCUACUGUAUAUGCAAUACAAGAUACAGUUACAGGAGCGUUUAUGAUGUACAAGAUGAAUAAGCUAUUAAAGCGAUCAACGCUGUAUGACUGUAUCAUGGUGUCUCAUGUUCAUCUUGAUAUUACUAACAUACGUACUUCAAGAGAUAUUAUAUUUAUGCUUAUCAAGUUAAUAAGCAACGAUAGCAAUCUAGUAAUCAAGUCGCUCACAUCUAGUACAAUAAGAAACAUAAUAAAGAGUAUAUUCAUAAGCAAAGGUGGACGUGAUACUUUAAUGUUUCUAGGAUCACUACAGAGAAUUGUUGAUCGCUAGUUUCUCGAGGAAGGAUUAAGUGUAGGAUAUGAUGAUUGUGUAAAUAAGGUUAGCCCUAUUGCUAUAGAGGCUGUAGAUAUAGAUGAUAAGAAUGUGGAUGUCGUUCUUAAUAAUAUUAGAAAUGUAAGCCAACGAUUAGUAGUAGAAUCUGUCGAUAAAAAUAAUCCACUUUUUACAAUGAUAGAGAGUGGGUCCAAAGGAAGCUUUGUUAACCUGGGACAGAUAUCUUCAUUAGUAGGUCAACAAUGGAUAAGAAGAAAAAGACCAGCGAGGGUACUACCAGGUGAUAGAGCUUUAGCAUGGUGCAGCCCAUACGACAGUUCAUUACAAGGACAAGGAUUUAUUAAUAGUUCAUAUUCACAAGGACUUAAUCCUAUCGAGUACUUUUUCCAUUGCCCAAGAGGUAGAGAAGGACUAGUUAAUACUGGUGUAAACACUUCUGAUGCUGGAUAUAUACAAAGACGUAUAUCAAAGUCAAUGCAAGAUGUAACAACACAGUACGAUGGUACUGUGAGAGAUGGCACAGACACUGUGCAGUUCUGCUAUGGAAGAGACAACUCAGACAAUAGUAAGGUAUAAAAAAAAAAUUAUAUUUGCCACUUGUUAUGACAUUCAGAACAUUCAAACAUCGUAGUCAUACCUUCAUCAGCUGAUCUCUUCUGAACAUCAAUGGAUAUUGUCUUCUUGCUUUUGCAUUUAAGACAUUGCUCUGCACCUUCUUCCACGACAGCAACUGUCCUUUUCGAAUCUGUAUCGAAGAAGAUAGUGUUAUUGAUAUCCUCAUAGCAGUUGAUACUUGGUACUUUAAUGUCUCUUUUGAUCAUACAUUCAAUAUUAAAUUCGUACCAUUUGAUCAUGUCUUUGUCACUACCUUCUAGAUGGGAAGAGUUCAUUGUCUCGAUGGCAGAUGAGCUAGACGAGAUAGUUACUAUCUUGAAGAGGGAGAUAGAUAAUGGAGUUAAAAUAUUUCCGGCACUGAAUGAUGUAUUAAGAGCUUUCUAUGAAACACCAUUAAGCGAUGUAAGAGUGGUGAUACUUGGUCAGGAAGCAUACAAAGGUAUUGGUAAGGCCAAUGGAUUAUCCUUCUCUGUCAAUAAAAGCUAUCCAGUUCCUCCAUCACUAACAAAUAUAUUUAAAGAGAUAUCUGAUGAAAUAAAAAGCUUUCAUAUACCUCCUCAUGGUGAUCUUACUAAAUGGUGCAAGCAAGGUGUACUGCUUUUAAACUCAACAUUAACAACUGAGAGUGGAUCGAAUAGGAGUCACGAUGCUUUAUGGCAACGAUUUACAAAGAUAUGUAUAAGAUUAUGUUCUGCAAAGGGAGGAGUAGUAUUCGUUUUAUGGAAAAAGACUGCAUCUACUUUUGAUAAGGAGAUUGAUACAUCAAAGAAUAUAAUUCUUAAAGCAGCACAUCCAUCACCAUUUAGUGCAAGCAAAGAAUUCUUCGAUUGUAACCACUUCACGAUUAUAAACGAUCUCUUAGAUACUCCCAUCGAUUGGAAUCUAUGAGUAUAUCAUCACUCGAUGAGGAAGAUGCUAGGGAAUAAUUGGAUGUAUUGCCAUUCUCCAUAAAGCACUUUAAUAUUGGUCCAGAGAUGGCAAGAGCUGUUGAAAGGAUACUAUGCGGUAUUGAAGCUCGCGAUAUGAACAUAACGCUUCUCGUUGCUGCAGCUGUUGUAUUAGUAAAGUGUGGAGAAAGGAUAGACAUGCGAUUCUCUAUGCUCUAUAACGAUGUUAUCAGUGACAUUGUUGAUACUGAUCCAAACAUAUCUGGUUCUAAGUUUUAUGAUAAGACUACAAUCAAAAAGAACAUUCUUAGGUAUUGCAGAUUCAUAUUAUUUAAGUAAUAUGAUUCGAGUUAUAAAGGAGAUGAUACGAGAUAGAGGAUAUGUACCUAAUGAUAGUACUGUUGAGUCCGAUGAAAGGAUGGGCCCAUAUGCAGGACAAGAGAAUGACCUUGUGGUACUAUUAGCAAGAAACUUUGUAGAUAAGAAUCCCUUUGGAACAAAUACAAACGUUCUUACAAAGAAAGAUAUAUCAAACUUCACGCUUGAGUAUUACAAAUCUGUACAAGAGGAUAUCAUAGAGUUUGCUACUAUAAUAGUAAUGCCAUCAAGUACCCUUGAUGCUUCUAUAUUUGAGGGUGAUAUAUCUGUAUAUGGUACAACAAUGUUUAUUGAAGAAGAGCUUAUGUUCAACCCUACAUCUAAUGUGCUUGUACCAAAGCACUGUAUUGCAUCGAGUUCAGAACUACAAGAAAUGAAGGAGAAAGGAAUAUCUCAUAAUAGCCUACCAAAGAUAUAUGCUGAAGAUCGAAUAUGUAAGUGGUACGGAUUUAAAAGAGGUGAUAUAAUAAGAAUAGAAAGAGAUUACUGCAAUGAAGUUUACUACAGAAUAGUAAUAUAAAAAAGUAAAAAAUAUUGAUGUAGAAAGAUACUUUUUACACUGGUGUUAUUUUUUUAUGCUUAUCAAGAGACAUGGAUUCUUAUAUGAUAAAAGAGGUAACCUUAGUGUGGUGCAUUGGCGAUACAGAUGGAAAUACACUUUUUGAUACAAUAUGUGUGUCUGAAGAUGUGCCUCUUGUCGAAAGACAUGUUGGUGACUAUCAAUGGUACAAGGACUUCUAUCCUGUAAUGGAAGUCGACAACACAUUAAAAGGUAAAGAUACACAUCUUAUUACGUUGUCGUGUUGUAACACGAGUAUACAGUGAAAAUAAAAAGAAAGGAGAAUUUUAUUAAUAUUCAGUUACCUCGAAUAUUGGGAGCAUCAACCAACUCCAGUACAAAUACUGAGUGAUCAGGUUCAGUCACUCCGUUACAGUCAGCCGGGGCAUACUGAAAUGCUCCGUUCGAUUCGAAUAACAGGAGUCAGCAGGAAGAGAAGGACCAAUUCACACGACGGAUUCGAGGAGCCAAUUGGAUCCAAUUUCGAUAAUCCAAUCCGGGUCCUCUUAUCCAAUAUGAGACCUGAAUUGGCCGGUCAACCCAAUGCAGUCUAAUCACGGGAAGUCCAGGUCUUACUACGGAUCUUAGCCAAUCUGAUGCGAGGACCAAUUUGACCCAAUUACGGGAACAUCCAGGUUACUACGGGCAUCUUUCCCAAUAUAGGACCUGAAUUGGUCAGGCGACUCAAUGUGGUCCCGAUUACGGGGUUCGAUUCUGUUACAGGCUGUCCUGUUCUCUGUGCCGUUUCAGGGAACGUUGUUUUCGGUAAAUGGAUUUCGUAAAGGUGAAAACGGAGGAGAAAGCUUGACGGCGAGAGCCAAUUUCGGAUCCAAGCUUGAGGUAGGAGCCAAUUCCGGAUCUAAGACGGAAGAUUGAAGAAAUUCAGAGGAUAAGGUUAGGGGGGGAUAUAGUUUUGAGGGGGGAGGUUUUUUUCAGUGGGGAAUCCGGGGGAGCGAGUUUUCAAGCUUUUGCAAGGUUACUAGUUUGGUUUUCAUUGGAGGUUUUUGGAAGAUCAAGGGAAUUAGAGAGAGGAGCUUCAUGCUUCGGGACGGGGAAGGAAAGACAUAGAAUUUGGAUUUUUCUUCUUCGUAGAGUUUUAGGAAGACUGAGGCAAUUGCUGGUGAAGUCAGUGUUGUAAUGGUGAAUCCGGAUAUUUAAAUGAAGUGGGUUUGAAUACUCUUGACUGUUUUGUGAAAUCGAGUUACGUCUCUGAUUGAAGGAUUAAAAGGGUGUCUAUAGGGUUGAGUAUGCGGAGUGAAUGAAAUUUAUUGGGUUAAUCUAACAAGACAGUCAGUGGAUACAAGAUCGUAAGUACAAAGCAGUAUUGAAGAUUAACAGUUUGGGUUGUACGGGGUUCUCUGUAACGUCUAGAGACCUACCGGCUAGGGCAAAAAGGACUUCGACAAGCAGUCGAAGAGCAUCCGUAUAGAUUUACUGUACAUUGUUGCAGUCGUUUAUAUUCCAGCAGUCAGAAACUGAUAGACUGCUUGACUAUCGGCGAAUCUCCAUACUACCUUCUACAGCCAGACGCCCGGCGCGUUCUCGAGCAGGAAAGCACGUAAUACGACAAAAAGUGGUGAACCCGACGUGAAAGCUUGAGGUAGAAGGUAUUGGAUUUCGGUUGAUUUUAUCUUUAUUUUUAUGGAAAACGAAAAUAAAAAUUUUGAAGGAUUUUUGGGAGAAGUUUCUGGUGGGGAGUCUUCUAAAGGACAAGGUAUGCACAUGGAUCCGUCUAUUGCUAGUUUUUUUCAAGCCUUCUCAUUGUCAUUGCAGCAACAGCAAAGCAAUGAUCGGAAGGAAGCUUUGGCAACCAAAGCAUUGCAAGCAGUGGUCAAUAAAAUUGAUCAAUUUGAUGGGAGGAAUAUUUCAAGGUAUUUAAGAUGUUAUGUUCAUGAAAUGGAAUUAAAUCGGGUUUCUGAGAAGAAAAUGGUUGCACUAUUUGGACUUGCCACGAUACCGGAGAUAAGGGACCACAUUACAUCGAUUACGGAUCAUUGUGGGAAUUCAUGGGAGGAUUUUUCACAUGCAUUGAAAGACGAAUAUUUCUUGGAAGAUGCUGAAAGCGUUACUAAGAAGCUGUUUUUGGGAUGGAUUGAAUGGCCCAAUAAGAAUUUGCAAGCAACAUUCAUUGGAAUUGAUUACAUCUAUUGGAUUAGGGGGUAAUGAUAAGAUUGUUGAGAUUCAUUCAAAAGAGAUUUAUACCAUGCUUGAAUCUUUUCAAGCACCAAAAGUCACAGUAGAGACGAGAUAUAAAACGGCAGAUAAGAAGGUAAAGCCUGUUGCCGGACCAUUACCAGAGGAUUCUAAAGAAUAAAUGGGAGAAGCAUCAAAAGAAGCAAGUUUAACAGAUCCAAUGAGUAUUGGACAUCAGUUUACUGAAGAGACUUUUGAAGAAUUGAAGAUUGGUUCUGAUGGUUCUUUAUUGCCGGAGGAAAUUACUUGCUUCAAAAAGAUGUUGGCUAAACAAAGUAGAUCGUUUGCCUUCGAAUCUCAUGAAAUUGGGUGUGUGGAUCCAAAUAUUAUAACACCUAUGGUUAUCUUCACUGUACUGCAUGUACCUUGGAAUCUAAGACCGAUUCCAGUACCGAGGGCACAUUUACCUAAAUUGGUUGAACUAUAAAAAGAAAAGAUAAAGAUGAAAAUAUUCGAACCUUGAUUUGCGCCGUAUUCUAGUCGAUGGUUUAUGGUACCUAAGAAGAAUGGGUCACUACGGUUUAUUCAAGAUAUGCAGCCGGUAAAUGCUGUAACUGUCAAGAAUGCAGGAAUUGGACCUAUUGUGGAUGAAUUUGCUGAGGCGUUUGCUGGAAGGGCAAUCUAUUCAAUGGGUGAUUUGUAUUCAGGUUAUGAUCAAUUUCAACUUGCCGAAGGAAGUAGAGAUAUGACAACGAUGAGGACACCACUUGGAUUGGUUAGAAUGUGCACUCUUCCUCAAGGCACGACCAACUCAGUUGCGCAUAUGAUGAAUGGGAUGAAUAAGGUAUUGAGAGAUUUUAUUCCGGAAAAGACUAUGCCUUUUUUGGAUGAUGUUCCUAUAAAAGGGUGUAGAGAAGGAGACAAGGAUGAAACUUUAGAUACGAGGGGAUGUCGCAAAUAUGUUGUUGAUCAUAUACAAGAUUGUGAAAAGAUUUUAACUCGGCUUGGAGAAGUUCAUCUUACAUUAUCGGGUAUGAAGUCCGUAUUUGGAGUACGAGAGGUUGUAAUUGUUGGACAUUUAUGUGGAUCUUAUGGAAGAAAACCAGAUCCGACUAAAGUUGAUACAAUUGGAAGGAUGAAAGAGGAUUGUGAUUCUUUAACAGAGGUUCGCAGGUUUUUAGGUGCAUGUGUAUUUUAUCGAAUCUGGAUCCCUCAUUUUGCUCACAUAGCGGAUCCAUUAUAUGAACUAUUACGCAAGGGUUACCGAUUUAAAUGGAAAGAAAGGCAUAUUCAAGCAAUGCAAAGAUUGAAGAAAUUAUUGAUGUCACCUCCAAUAUUGAGGAAGGUUGAUUAUAAGUGCAAUAGACCAGUGAUUCUUACUGUAGACGCUAGUCCAAUUGCCGUUGGAUGGGCUGUGGGUCAAGAUGAUUCAAAUGGGAGUAGAUUUGCAGUUCGAUUUGGGGCUAAAGUUUUAAGUAUUCGUCAGCGUGCAUAUUCGCAAGUCAAAAGAGAACUUUGGGGAGUUGUUUCGGCUAUGAAAGCUGAAAAGGACUAUUUGAUUGGGGCAGUAGUAGUAAUUGAAACAGAUUACUUGCCAUUGCUUGGAAUGAUUAUUAACUGUUCAACGCUAGAUAUUGCAAUGUUGAGAUGGAUUCCUUAUAUUAAGUCACUAAAUCCAGAAUUUAAGCAUGUUACUAGGAAGGACAAUUUAGUAGCAGACAUGCUAUCUCGAGUAAGAUACGAGAGGGAGGACAAAAUGGUUGAAGACAUUGAUGAUGUUGGAUUGAAAUUCUAUUCAAUAUCAAAUCUCAACAGGGAAGACAAGCUAUUUCUUGAAGAAUCUUAUGAAGGAGAAUUAUUGGAUAUUGGUCAUUAUUUGAAUACCUAGACUAAGUAGGGGAAUUGGUCUACAAAAAAAUUCAAACAAAUAAGAAAAAAAGCAUAUGGAUUUUUACUUUGAGAUGGAUUCUUAUGGAAGAGACCGAAGAAAGGAAUUGGGAUGCCACAACGAGUGAUAGGCAAAAGGGAAGAAAAACUAAAAUUAUUAAAGGAGUUUCAUGAUAGUUUAUGGGCAGGGCAUAGAGGAAUCUGGGCUACUUUUGCUAAACUCAAGGAACGAUAUUGGUGGAAAAAUAUGUAUCGAGAUGUGCUCUCAUUUGUAGAGUCAUGUGAAAUCUGUCAAUCGUAUUCUAAUAUCCGACAUCGAGAUGGUCUUCAUCCUACGUAUCCUUUGGCUAUUCAUUUUAAAUGGGUUGUUGAUUUGGUUAUUAUGCCGGUUGGGUUAUGGCAGAUGAGAUAUUUGGUUUUAGCUUGUGAAGAUUUAUCAAAUCAAGUAGAAGGAAGAGCAUUGAGGACAAAAUCUACAGAGGAGAUUUGUAGGUUUUUGCUUGAAGAUGUCAUUUGCCGCUACGGAUGCAUAGGAAAAAUCACUGCAAAUCAUGGAGAAUCAAAUGCACAAGAAGCUCGUAAGUUCUUUGAAAGAUGUGGAGUUAAACUAUCACUGACUACUGCUUAUAAUCUAGAAGGGAAAGCAAAAAGCGAACGCGGUCACCCUCCGAUUGUGAAAGCAUAGGUUAAAGCUUGUAAUGAAAAAGUUAAAGAGUGGCCACGGCUUUUGUCAUUUGCAUUAUGGGCUGAUCGAACAACAUAUAGUUCGGUGACAGGAUAUAUGCCAGUAGAACUUAUGACAGGUCAAAAACCAAUUAUGCCGAUUGAAGAAAAGGUACUUACUUGGAGUAUGCUACCAUGGGAAGAUGGAUUGACAAGAGAAGAACUUCUGGCUAUUAGGAUUCGACAAUUGGAGCAAAGAACAGAAGAUGUGCAGAUAGCAUUGGGAAGGUUAAAAAGAGUAAGGUUACAAAAUAAGGCACGAUUCCAUAAGCAACAUCGAUUGAGACCAAAAGCAAUCGAAGAAGGUGACUGGGUACUUGUUUAUGACAAUAGUCUAGAUAAUCAACAUAGUACUUUGCGGAAAUUUUCAAAACAUUGGUUUGGACCAUAUGUAGUAACAACUGUUCAUGAUAAUGCGACUUACUCAUUGCGGGAGUUAGAUGGUACAAAAUUGAAAAUACCAAUUGCAGGGAAGCGAAUAAAAAUAUUUAAACGAAGAGACAUCGAGAUGAAUAUGAAAGACCUUAAUGAAGGUAUAGAGAUUCUGCAGCAAGAAGAUGAAAGUGAUUUGGUAAUGAAGGUGACGAAGACGAACUGGACAAAGACGUAGGGGAUAUAUUCUGAAUCAAACAGUAAUUGGAUAAAUUGGUGCAUACCGGAGGAUGCACAGGUUCAGAGGGGGUGAAUGUCGUGUUAUAACACGAGUAUACCGUGAAAAUAUAAAGAAAGGAGACUUUUAUUAAUAUUCAGUUAUCUCAAAUAUUGGGAGCAACGACCAACUCCAGUGCAAAUACUGAGUGGCCAGGUUCAGUCACCCCGUUACAGUCAGCCGGGGCAUACUGAAAUGCUCCGUUCGAUUCCAAUAACGAGAGUCAGCAGGAAGAGAAAGGACCAAUUCACAUGACGGAUGAGCCUUGUUCGAAGAGCCAAUUGGAUCCAAUUUCAAGAAUCCAAUCCAGGUUACUAUCGGACUCUUAUGCAAUAUGAGACCUGAAUUGGCUGGUCAACCCAAUGCAGUCUAAUUACAGAAAAAUCCAGGUCUUACUACGGGCCUUAGCCAAUCUGACGCGAGGACCAAUUGGAUCCAAUUACGUGAACAUCUAGGUUACUACGGACAUCUUACCUAAUAUGAAACCUAAAUUGGUCGGGCGACUCAAUGUGGACUCGAGUACGGGGUUUUGAUUCUGUUUCAGGCUGUCCUGUUCUCUGUGCCAUUUCAGGGAACGUUAUUUUUGGUAAAAAGAUCUCUUAAAGGUAAAAACGGGAGAAAAAGCUCUGACGACGAGAGCCAAUUUUGAAUCUAAGCUUGACGGUGGGAGCCAAUUCCGGAUCCAAGACGGAAGAUUGAAGAAAUUCAAAGGAUAAGGUUAGGGGAGAGAAUAGUUUUUUUUGGAGGAGGGGAGUUUUGGAAGAGAGGGAUCAGAGAGAGCUAGCUUCAAGCUUCAAGUCAGAGAAGAAAAGACAGAGAAUUGGGUUUUCUUCUUCAUAGGGUUUUUUUUGGGAAGACUGAGGCAAUCGUUGUUGAAGUCAGUGUUGUAAUGGUGGAUCGGGAUUUUUAAUGAAGUGGGUUUGAUUAUUCUUGACUGUUUUUGUGAAAUCGAAUUACGUCUGUGAUUGAAGAAUUAAAAGGGUGUCUAUAGGAUUGAGUAUACGAAGUGAAUGAAAUUUAUUGGGUUAAUCUAACAAAACAGUCAACGGAUACAAGAUCGUAAGUACAAAGCGGUAUUGAAGAUUAACAGUUUGGAUUGUUCGGGGUUCUUUGUAACGUCUAGAGACCUACCGGCUGGGGCAAAAAGGACUUUGACAAGCAGUCAAAGGACAUUCGUGUAGAUUUACGAUGUAUUUUUGCAGUCGUUUAUAUUUCUGCAGUCAAAAACUGAUAGACUGCUUGACUAUUGGCGAAUCUCUAUACUACCUUCUACAGCCAGACGCCCGGCGCGUUCUCGAGUAGGAAAGCACGUAAUACGACACCGUUCUUACCAAGAGUCAACAAAAGAGAAAAUAACCAAUUCAAUAUUCAAGUGAGUCAGAUGUAAAGGCCCAAUUUGACCCAAUUACAGGGAUAUCCAAUCCAAGUCCAUGUAUGGGCCUCUUAUUUAGUAUGAGACCUGACUCGGUUGGGCAACCCAAUGAGGUCUCGAAUACGAAGGCUUCAGUUCCAUUUCAAGUUGUUUCGUUAUCUAUAUUGUUUCAAGAAAACGUCCUUUCUAUGGAAAGAUCCUCUUAGAGGUGGGAAUUCUAUGGAGGCGGGUCUACUGUUCCAAUUCGGAGUCCAAGACGAAAGAAUAAGGGACCUCAAGGAGUUAAAAGAAAAGAAAGAAAAAAGAAGGGGGCAUCCGGAGAUCGGGAUUUUUAAGAUCGGAGAGCUAGCUUCAAGCUCCUUUGAAAGAUGUAGAAUUGGGUUUCAUAGGAUUUGGGAAGACUUUGCAAUCAUUGCUCAAAGUCUGUGUUUGUAUUAGUAAAUUGGAUUUUUGCAAUAAAGUAAUGGCUAGUAUUCUUGACUUUUUGUAAAAUUGGAGAGAUAUUUGUAGUUGAAAUUUUAGAGGUGUCUAGAUGGUUGAGUAUACUAAGUAUAUGCAAAAAUUUGUGUUAAUCUUAUAGUAUGGAUAGAGGAUAUUUGAUCAUUAGUAUAAAGCUGUAUCAAAAGUUGGGAUAUUGGAGUUGUUUAGGAUUUUUAUAAUAUCUAAGAUCUACCAGCUAGAAUAAGGUGAAUUUUGACUUGAUAUGUCGAGGACUUGAAGGCGGAGUUGCAUACAAAGUUUGAAUGAGAAAUAAUGGUCAAAGAAGGAGAAAUUGCAGGUUAAAGUUCAUCAUCGACCUUCUAGGCGACGAUGUCAUAUAAUGUGAAGUCUUGCUUGAGAAUGCACCAAGUACCUGGCUGUUGAAGAUAAAAGAAAAUUGCAAAAAAAAGUCCUAAUAAUCCAAUAGGAUUAUAGAGAAAUUAUAAUUAAAUAUUAAUAAUCAUAAUCAAAUAUUAAGCAAGCUAAAUUAAAUUUUAUUGAAGUUAUGAAAAAAAUAUAAGGAAAUCCUAAAGAAAUAUAAAAGAAUAUUAAAGAAAACUUAAUCAAACCUCAAUAAAAAUCUAAAUAAACCUUUAAUUCUAAUCAAACCCUGAUCCUAAUCCAACCUUAAUCAAAUCCUAAACAAAUACUAAAUCCUAAACAUAUCCUAGUCAAAUCUUAGAUAAAUCCUAAUCCUAACAAAUCCUAAUCAAUUCCAAAUCCUAAAAAAAUCCUAGUCAAACUUUAAACAAAUUCUAGUCAAAUCCUAGUUAAAUCUUAACUCUAAAUCCUAAUCAAAUCCUAAACCCUAAAUCAAAUCCUAACCCUAAAUCCUAAUCAAAUCCUAAUCCAAACCAAAUCCUAAUCACUAAUUUGAAAUUUAAAUAACUAAAGAUUGAAUUUUCUAUUCUAAUUCAAAAUUUUCACACUUCUUGGAGUUUAAGUUAGCAACCAACAUACAAAUUUUAAAGAAAAUUGUACUUACCAAUUAGUUGAUGACCUCAAAAUUCCGCUCAGAUGUCAGCCGACCUCUCUUUUUCCAAUCUAAUGCAAACUUUCAAUACCAAUAUCUCCUUUUUCUAUCAUUCAAUUGCUUCCAAAUUUUACUUGCAUAUAGAAAAUCAAGUCUUCUACUAAUAAAACUAAAAAUCUCUCCAAUCCAAUUGGCAGAUUGCUAGAUAUCUAAGAAAACCUUAUUAGUCUUCAAAACCUUAAAUCCCAAGACCUUAGCCCACAAAAACCUUCAUAUGUAUCGAUCUAGCCAUUCGAUUGACUUCAAAUCUCUUAUACACAUUUACAACAAGCAUACCAAUAAGUUUCUAAAUUUUUAUUCAUAAAAAUUCUACAAAAGUCACGAAAUCCAAAAAUUUGUAAACCGGUUUUAUUUCUCAAAGAUCUAAAUUCACAGAGAACAUCACUUGCUUUGAAAAUCCCUCAAAAAUCCAAUACUAAUCCAAAAAAUAUAAAAUUACCUCUCAAAAAUCCCUUCACAAGUCUGCCCUCUAAUUCGGCUCUCUGAUCUUCCAAAGAACCCUUGAGUCGCCGUCAAAGUGCGGUUUUGUGCCUUGGGGUCUGAUUUCAACCCAAGUUCAUAACCUGUCCUCUUCGGAUAUCAACUUUCGUCUUUUUGAGGUAAUUUUUACUAAUUUGCACUCUUAACUCCUCCCUACAUAUGUUUAUAUUCUUUAUUUUUCUAAUCUAUCUUGUUUUGCCUUAUUUAUGGCCUUACAAAGUAAAUAGAAGCAUAAUUUGUAAAUAGGCAGCAUUAGUACCUUUAAUUUUUCUACCCUUUGACUAAUAUCUAUUUUUCCAAGAUAAUUUGCUAUAAUAUUUUUGAAGUGAGAUCCUAAAAACAUGAUAUUUUCUUCACCCUUUCACUUGUUAUCCAUGUUACAUCACGACAGUCGUCAAGGGACUUCAGCAUGGACUUACAGUGUUUUCUUGCAAUCUGUAAGUUGGAUUGGAUUGAACUUCUUGAGCAUUUAGAAGACUUGUAAAGACAUUAGUGGUAAAAGUCUCACAACAAUUGGAUGGUUAGAUUAAGAAUUAUAGCUUACUGAGGCUUGCUAUCUAGGAUUAGGAUUUAAAAAAAUAAAUAAAUAAAUAAAUAAAAUAACAAAUAACCAAAGAAUUUGUGCUUAUAAUAUCUUGAAGUUAUUGAAAAUAGUGUUCUAAGCACUUUGUAUUGGCAUUAAGCUUUUACAUUGAAAUCUGAAAUAGUUUGUAUUUAGAUAGUUGAAACCCACUAGACUACUUGGACACUUGCAAAACAUCAUUUUAUCUUCCACAGCGAGACGCCCAGUGCGUUCUCAAGCUAGAUAGCAUGUAAUACGACACCAUUCGAUUAUUAUGAAACUUCUACCACUGGUGUCUUUACAAGUCUUCUAAAUGCUCAAGAAGUUCAAUGGAAUCCAACUUACAGAUUGCAAGAAAAUGUCGGAAAUCCACACUGAUGUCCCUUGACCACCACCUAGAAAGUUGAUGAUGAACUUUAACUUACAAUUUUUCCUUCUCUAACCAUUAAUUCUCAUUCAAACUUUGUAAGUAGCUCCAUCCUUAAGUCCUCGACUUACUUCGUUAAAAUUCACCUUAUUCUAGCUGGUAGAUCUCUAGAUAUUUCAAAAAUCCUAAACAACCCCAAUAUGCCAACUUCUGAUACUUCUUUAUACUAAUGAUCAAAUAUCCUCUAUCCGUACCAUUAAUUUAACACAAAUUUUUGCAUGCACUUGGCAUACUCAAGAAUCUAGAUACUUCUAAAAUUUCAACCACAGAUGUCUCUCCAAUUUUACGAAAAAGUCAAGAAUACUAGUCGUUACUUCAAUGGAAAAAAUCCAAUUCACUAAUACAAACACAGCCUUUGAACAACGAUUGCAAAGUCCUUCCAAAUCCUAUGAAACCCAAUUCACCAAUACAAACACUGACUUUGAGCAACAAUUGCAAAAUCCUCCCAAAUCCUAUGAAACCAAGUCUUACACCUUUCGAAGGAGCUUGAAGCUAGCUCUCCAACCCCAAAAUCUCAAUCUCUGAAUGCCCCUUUCUUUUUUCUUUUUUUUUCUUUAACUCCGUGAGAUCCCCUAUUCUUUCAUCUUGGACUCUGAAUUGGAACAGCAGACCCGCUUCCAUGGAAUUUCCGCCUCUAAGAAGAUCUUUUUAUGGAAAAGAUGUUUCUUCAAAACGGCAUAGAGAAUGGAACAGCUUGAAAUAGAACUGAAGCCUCCGUAUUCGAGACCUCAUUGGGUUGCCCAACCGAGUUAGGUCUUAUAUUGGGAAGAGGCCCAUACAAGGACAUGGAUUGGAUGUUCCCAUAAUUUGGUCAAAUUGAUCUUUCACAUCACAUUCACCCAAAUAUUGAAUUGAUCUUUUUUCUUUUGCCGACUCUUGGUAAGAAUGGCUCGGACUUAUUCCACCUGAUUUAUCAGAGAAUCUUGAGGACCUCGAUUUAUUCUCUCAAUUUUUUCUUGGCUUUGGAUCUGCUGAUCUCGAUUAUUGAAAUUGAACUGAGCAUUACAUUGCUCAUAAGUAUGCUCCGACUGCUUGCUAUUCCCACACACUAGCACGUAAUUGUCAUUGGCUCUGGGAUUGGGACAUUCACUUGUAUAAUGACCAAUCUAUCUACAAUGGAAACAACGAAGUGGUCUUCUUGUACCCCCAUCAGGCAUAUUAGUUGUCUCCACUAGUAUAUACCUACUAGGGUUGUUCCAUGUAAGGUUAGAAAAUGAUCUUGGUCGUCCCGUUGGUACGGAGGGUACUUGGUUCAAUGAUGCCAAUGGAGCAUACGCUGUUGUCACGUUCGGUGGUACAGCUUGCAAUGGGGUGACAUUAAUUGGUCCUUCAAUAUUGGCACUAGAAUUGGCCACUGUUUCUAACAUCCAAGAUGACUAAAUAUUAAUAAAUCUUUUCCAUUUAUAUUUUUACCAUAUAGUCAUGGUAUAACACAACACCAUUGUAUGCUUUAUUACAUUGAUAUAAUUCAUAAGAAUGCACAAAAGCUUAAAUAUCACAGUGUCAUAUGAUAUGAUUUGUAAUCUAAGAAUAUACAAAGUAUCUAGUUAUAAAGAGUUUAGUUUUAAUUUAUUGGCUAAACUCUAAUAAGUAUUUUAUUCUAUCUUUAACUUAUAUGCAAAGUCUUGGCUUCCAAAAACUCUUCACUUUAUAUAAAAUCCCUAAAUUAUAGUAAAAUCUUUCAAAACAUAUUUUUUUUAGCAAAGGAUUUCUUCUUUCUAAAUUUUAGAAAUUCAUAUCUCUUGAUCCAACUAUUAAGUUUCUCUCAAAUUCUUAUAUAAUGUAGCUAUUAUUCUUAAGCUUUACUAUAAAAAAAAAAUAAACUAUAAAAUCGCUACCAAUCUUCUAGAAUCUUAGAAAUCCUAGCAAGUACUCUAAAUCCUAACUUACAAGCACCCAAGCACUAUUUUCUUCAUAUCUCAAAAACCCAAAAUUCAAAUGCUAUAAAAUUUAUUAACAUGAUUACACACAUUCUAGAAAAUUUUGAGCCAAAAUCUUGUCAAAUUAAUCAAGGUAUGGCUCAAAAUACAACCACUAGUAAAUCAAAUCACUUACUACUCUUAGAUUACAAGCAUUGAAUUCAACCUCUAAUAUCUCCUUUAUUCCAACUUAGAAUCCAUUGAAUAAUAUGCCAAAAGUAUAGCCAAGAGAGUACUUUCUUCAAUCUUAGUCGCCAAUUCUUUAUUUCUUUAUAUACAUAUAUGUUAUGUCUAAAAGAGUGACAGUAGGUACAAAAUCAACACCUUAACUUUGAGCAUCUAUAUCUCUUUUAUAUAAAUUCCAAAUUAGAUAAAAUUUCCACCAAAACUAUAGCCAAAAACCUAAACUUUUUGAUCCUAUCAAUAGAAUUAGAGAUUUCCAUUAUCCAUCUAUAUUCAUCUAUAUAGAUAUUCAAACUAUUCUUUUUGCUAUCAAAAUCCCUCUUCAAUCUUUUUAUUUUUAUAAGAUUUACAUAAUAUAUGCUCUAAAUACCAAAUAAAAGAAUAAAAUAAAACUUCAAAGGUCACCAAUAUCUAUCAAAGAUGACUCUAAAUGUUUAAAAGUUACUACUAAUAAGAUCAAUUUUAAAAGUUACUAUAAAAAAAAAAUAAAGUUAUAAAAAUUCUAAUAGUAGUCAUUGUAAACAACUUAUUUUUAGAUUAGUAAUCUAAUUCCAUUCUACAAUCAAUUAAAAUUCAUUAACAUGGCUCUUAUCAUGUUUCUUAGUAUAUUAUAUAUUAAAUAUAUAUAUACAUUAUUUUCACAUCACAGCCAAAUCUCAACAUGACAAUGGUCCAAACCUAUCCAACACUAUAUCCUUGAAAUUCAUUCUAGAGUCUUUUCAUGCUUUAGAUGCUCAAAUAUUGGAAUAUUAUAUCCCUCUUGAAAUAUGCACAUCUACAGUAUAGCAUUAUUAAGAACAUAAAUUUACUUCUUGAAAUAAAAUUAAUCAUUAUUAAGAUUCUAAUUUUGAUAUUGUACAUCACCUAUCUUUAGCUAAUUAUUAACUAUUUUUAAAUAAGUAUUCCAAUGCAUAUCUUCCUUCAAUUCUACUUCUUUGAUUAGAUUUGAAAUAAGACUAUUAAUGGUAGCAACUUAUGUCUUGUCUCCUAAUUUUGCCUUCAAGUUUGGUCUUUGCAAUAAGUUGUUCAACACAAUAUGUUGUUGUCCUUGCUUAUAUUGAAGUUGAAUAUCAAAAAGCUACAACUAUUCUUUUCAAGAAUGAUGCUGUGAUUUCAUAUUUUUUUUUUAUACAAAUCAUAUAGCAAGGAUCAAUGCUAUGGUUAAACAAUCACUAACUUCUUCAACAGACAGUGUUGCCAUACUUUUGUCACAUGUAAAAUUUCUAAUUGCUCUCCAUCAUAUAUAAAAUAAUUGUAUUCUAUUGUUUUGAGAUUUUGUGAUUCAUACACCAUGCGUUGAAGGCUCUUAUUAAAAUUGUUGAAGGACUAGUCCAAUAGCAAAGUUGGAAGCAUUAAUAUCAAGUAUAUAAAUAAGGUUGAGAUCAUAUGCUUGUAAUAUUGGAGCAAUAAUGAGUGCCUCCUUCAACCUAUCAAAGAUACUUUGUUAUUCUAGUUUCCAUUCAAAUGGAGCAUUUUUUUCCAAUAGUCUUGUCAAUAAGACAGUAAUAUGUGUAAAUUGUCAAAUAAAAUGGUAAUAAUAUUUAAGAAGACCUAAGAAUGAGUGGACUUCAGAAGCAUCCUUUGGAAUUGGUCAAUCUUCUAUUACUUUGACCUUAUCCUAAUCCAUGUGCAUAUCUUAAAAAAAUAACUUCCAACUUCUAAAGUUCACAUUUUGAUUGUUUGCAAUAGAAGUAAUUAUCUCAUAGCUGUUAUAGUAUUUUUUAUAUAUGUUAUUUAUAUUUUUUUAGGAUUUUAUUAUAGACUAAGAUAUUAUCAAUAAAGACAAUUACAUACUUAUCCAAAAGAUCCUAAAAUAGUCUAUUUAUGUAACCCAUAAAGAGAACCAAAACAUUAGUGAUGUCCAAAAGAUAAAAUAAGUCCUUCAAAAUGUCCAUAGUACUUAUGGAAUGCCAUCUUUUUAAUAUCCUCUUUUUCAAUAUGUAUUUAUGAAUAGCUACAAAAAAGGUCUAAUUUACUAAAUUCCUCUUAGUUAUAAAAUUUACUUUGAGCUCCAUAGUUUUAAGCUCAAUGUCACUACCAAAUAACUGCCAUACCUCUCAAAUAGAUAAUUACAUAUAUAAUUCUUUGAGUGGUGCUUGCUCUAAAUAAUUAGAAGUAUUGUUGUACACUAAAGAAUCAUUAGCAUACAUCUUCUUGUCUUGAAGUUCCAAAAUAUGUUUUGGACUUACUUAAUUUUAACCUAGCAGAUGUCAACUCCAUUGCCUUAGAAGCUUUUAUUUAUCUUUAUAAAGUAGCUAUUUGAUCUGGAAGGUGUUGUACUUGAGCUUCCAUCUAAUUGUCAAGGUAUCACGGACACAGAAUACAGACUUGAUAUCUACUAAGAAGUUCAAGAAGAACUGGUAAGAACUAGAUUAAUCAGAUGAAUACAAGAACAACACCAGAAAGGUGAGCUAGAGCUCUAAGAGAUGUGUUGUCGAAACUGAAGAACUCUUCAGCCUCGAUUCCAAUAUAUACUUCUAUUUAGGAAGCUUCUCAAGCAACUUCUACCAACUAUGAAGCUUCUAGAAGGUUCUAGAGACUUGCUUCUAGAAGGUUCUAGAAACUUAUCUCUAGAAGGUUCUAAAGACUAUAUCCCUAACAUCUUCUACUAACUAAGAAGCUUCUAGAAGGUUUCAGAGACUUGCUUCUAGAAGAUUCUAGAAGCUUAUCUCUAAAAAGUUCUAGAAACUUAUCUCUAGAAGGUUCUAAGGACUAUGUCCCUAACAUCACCCCCUUCUUUAGCUUCGAGGUCUCUGAGAAGCAAUGUUGUUGUCAAUCAGUACCAACGCAAGAAAAUGAAGAUCUGUCGCAUAACGUCUGCUAUGAACUCCAACUGUUGUUCACGAGGUAAGUAGUUCAUCGGCCCUUGAAGCCAACGGUAGUGGCCCACUCCUUCAACUUCUGACCAAGCAUGAACUUCCGUGUCUUCAUUGUGAAAUUGUCCUGCAAAUAUGCCUUCUGGUUGACCAUCGUAAGCAGGCUCGGACUCAAAUACAAUCACCAGUGAUCGGUUACUUGAUAUCCUCCAUCAUCGUCAUGGUGCAGGUGGUUCUUCAUCUCGGGGUCACCUUUGUGAACUAGUUGGUUGAGAUAAUCUGACUGGCAUAGUAUCUAUCUCUUGGCUAUCCAUAUCAGAAGACCAAACUAUGGCUACUGAAAAAAUUCUAUUUUAUCUUGGAAAAAAUAACUACAUCAACUACGAAUUUUGGUGGUGCUCUCUCCCUUUCUUAUAUUCUUGGGUGAGCAAGCUUCAAAAAGAAGCUAUUGUCAAACCGACUUAGGUUUAUGAGGAUGUUGUUGAUGAAACUCCUGUAGCUUUUGCGGCGCAUUGGUGAGAUUUUCAGCUGGCUCUCACGUUCGCUCAUUAAUGUCGUAGCCGCACCAAUGAACAAGAUACUCCAACUUGUCCCACCUUCGCCGAGAAUCCAGCACCUUUUCAACCUCGUAUUCCUCGUGGUUCUCGAUCUCAAUACUAGGUGGCAGACAUUGCACUCUUCCAGGAAAAGAUGACUCUCGAUAAGGCUCCAACAAAGAAACAUGAAAGACUGGAUGUACCUUCAUAGAAGCCGGUAAUUCCAAACGGUACGCCACUGGAUUGAUUUGCUUUUGGAUGAUAAAUGGUCCCAAUCUUCGAUAGUCCAACUUAUCACAUGGUCGCUUGGUCUUGAUAUUCCGUCGAAGAAGCCAUGCUUUAUCUCCAAUUUUGAAAGUAGGUGCUUGAUUUCGAAAUCUAUCUGCAAACGCCUUGUAGGAUUCUUGAGCGGAUUGUAAUUGAAGCUUCAACGUAUUUUGAAGCUCUGAUAGUUGUUUCGCAAAUCCUUCAGCUGCUUGAUUGUUAUUUGUUGAUGGACUCAAUAAAUCAAGCUUUGGAUGAUAUCCAUAGUUGGAAAAGAAUGGUGUGUAUUGAGUCGACACAUGGAGGGUGUUGUUAUAUGCAAAUUCGGCUAGCGACAGAUAUGUGGUCCAAUCGUCUUGCUAAUAGUUGAUGCUGCAUCGUAAGUAUUGUUCCAAGACUUGGUUCACCCGUUCCGUUUGAUCGUCAGUUUGAGGAUGAAAAGCCGAAGAAAGCUUGAUAUCCACCUUCAGUAUCUCAAAGAGAGAUCUCCAAAACUUUGAUACGAACUGGGUUCCUUGAUCUGAUACGAUAUCAUCUGGUAGUCCAUGAUAUCGAUACACAUUAUCGAGAAAGAAUCUUGUUGUGACUUCACUGGACGAUGUCUUCUUGCAAGGGACAAAGUGUGCCAUUUUUGUAAGCCGAUCUACCACGACAAAGAUGUUGUCAAAUGAGUUCGAUGAUGGCAGGUCCAUGAUGAAGUCCAUGGAAAUUGAAGACCAUGGUCGACGUGGAAUCGGCAAUGGCUGUAGGAGUCCAUAAGGGCAAUGCCGAGGAUUCUUAGAUCUUGAACAGAUGUCGUAGGAGAGAACAAAAUCUUUCACAUCCUUCCACAUUUGGGGCCACCAAAAAUCUCAAGAAAUAAGCUCCAAGGUCUUGUUGAAUCCAAAAUGUCUCGCAGCUAGAAAAUCGUGGCAAGAUUGAAGAACUCGGAGUCGUGCUGGUCCUUUUGGGAUAUAUAACCACUCUUCAAAGUAUAAAAGAUCUCCCUCCACCUUGAACUUGUCGUCAUUGGCUCGCUGCUUAAUAUCAAUGGCUACUGAAUCUUCAAUGGUUACGGCACAUACCUGAUUCAAGAAGUGAGCAUCAAUUGGCAUAAUAGUAGCACAAAGCUGAAAUUGCUGUAGCUUCAAUAAUAUCAUACAUUGUUGAUCAAAUGUUGCUUCUCCAACCUUUGAUACAAGAUACGAUCUCCUCGAUAAAGCAUCAGAUAGUCCUUACUGCUUUCCAGGUCGAUAAGUGAUAAUAAAAUCGAACCUAGAUAGCAACAUACUCCAUCGAGCUUGACGUCGAUUUAGAACUCGAGUUGACAUGAAAUACUCCAAAUUCUUGUGAUAUGUGUAUACGAUCACUGGAUGUGUAGCUCCUUCAAGAAAGUGACGCCAUUCUGGGAAAGAAUCCACUAUAGUAAGAAGUUCCUUAUCGUGGAUCUCAUAAUUGAUUUCAACAGCAGAGAACUUUCGAGAAUAGAAUGCAACCGGAUAGAGCUUCUUGUCUUCUCCCAUUUGUGAAAGUACAGCUCUCAAAGCAAAAUCCGAAGCAUCAGUUUCUAAAUAGAAGGCCUUUAUAAAGUCUGGAUGUACCAAGAUUGGAGCCGUAGUAAAUGCGGUCUUCAAGUUUUGAAACGCCUUCUCUGCUAGAGGUCCCCAUUCCAGCUUAUCCUUGCAUAUCAACCGAGUGAGAGGAGCAGCAACUUGAGAGUAAUUCUUGAUAAAGAUCCGAUAGAAGUUGGCAAAACCAAGAAAGCAUUGUACGUCUCUAACCGUCUUCGGAACCUCCUAGGACACGAUUACUUCCACCUUCUUGGGGUCCAACUUCAAGCCUUCCGUAGGUGCAACGAAUCCCAAAAACUCCAUCUCUAUUUGGUGAAAUAAACACUUCUCCAACUUGGCAUAUAGUCCUCGCUCGCGUAGUUUCUCCAAUACCAAACGAACGUAUUUUUCAUGUUCUUCCUCAUUUUUGGAAAAUAUCAAAAUAUCAUCCAAAUAGAUGACAACAAAAUCGUCAAGGUACUCUUAGAAAAUGUCAUUCAUCAUAUGUAAAAGACCGCUGGAGCAUUGGUAAGACCAAAGGGUAUGACAUUAUAUUCAAAAUGGCCAUAUCUUGUACGGAACGCUGUCUUCCACUCAUCUCCUUCCUUGAUUCGUACGAAGUUGUAAGCUCCCCUUAGAUCAAUUUUUGUAAAGAUCCUUGCACGUUCAAGUUGUUCUAAGAGACCAAAAAUCAAGGGUAACGGGUAACGAUUCUUCUUUGUUACCUUGUUGAGGCCUCGAUAGUCCACGCACAUCCGCAACGAGCCAUCUUUCUUCUUCACAAAUAAGAUGGGUGCUCCAGCUGAUGAUUUUGAAUGACAGAUGAAGUUCUUGGCUAGAUUCUCGUCGAUGUACUUCCGCAACUCCACCAACUCCAUCUGCAAUAGAUUGUAGAUUGGGCCAAAAAGCGGUUGUGUUCCUUCUUGUAAGUCUAUGGCGCAAUCAUAUGGUCUGUAUUUCGCUAGCAUGUCGGCAUUUUUCUUUUGAAACACGUCUUUAAAAUCCUUAUAUUGCUCCGGUAUACUUGUUGUCGAGAUCUUCUCCCCGGUAGUUGGAGCCGCAUAAAUGACAAACGGUGUGCCUCCCUUGGACAAUCUUAUAAACGCUCUUGUUCCAAUAAAUAAGAAUUUCUCUAUUCGGGAUUUUCUACUAGGCUUGUUCUUGGGUGGUUUUGUGGGAAAGGUCAUCUUCCGCAACUUCCAAUCUAUGGAUGGGUUAUGCUUUUCCAACCAGGAAAGACCAAGAAUAACAGGAUUUGAUGGGGUUCUAAUAAUAUUGAAAAUAAUAUGACUACUAUAGUCCUUAAACGUCACUUCUAUAGGUUCUGAUUCAUGGAUGACACUACCAGACAAUAAAGGUCAUCCAUCUAUGACCUCAACGUGAACAAGUUUGGAUUUUUGUACUAAAGGGAUCUUAUGACGCUUUGCAAAUUCUUCGUCUAAGAAACAAGCAGAUGCUCCUGAAUCUAAUAAUGCUAAGGUUUUCAGUUUCUGAGGGCCAAUAAGCAAAGGGAUUAUAAAACAAAGGGCAGGUUGAGAGGAAAGAAAAGAACCUGGUUGUUGUUGCGAUAUUUCACUGUCCAGCCGCACGGUUCCUAUUGUGGCUGGGCAUCCUCGUUUUCCUGAAUAAAUGCACCCCUAGUCUUGAUAAUAUGUCGAUUUUGCUUCUUGGGGCAAUUUCCAACUUUGUGGCCUUCUUCACCGCAAUACAAGCAUAGACCUUCUUCCAUACGCCGCUUUUUUUCUUCUAGAGUAAGAGAUUUGACACGUACCGCAUCAAUUUGCAUGUCUUCUACCUCUGAAUGUGAAUUCACACUGCUUGCCGACAUAGUUGGGGUGUGGCGAACCGUAUGUUGUCUUGAACGUUGGUCUUAGUGACGUUGGAAUAGGCGGUUAUCGCACUUCACAGCUUGGCUAAUAGCUUCGUUGAGCGUUUGCGGAUCAGGAAGAGUUAAUAACAAAUCCUUCACAUCUUCCCUUAAAUCCCAAUAGAAUUGACUCAUCAACGCUUCUUCGUCCCAAUUGAUGUCGCAUGCUAAUUGCCUGAAGUCCGAUGCAUAGACUGAUGUAAAACGCAUCCCUUGUCCUAUUGACUGGAUCUUUGUUGUAGCCCAUCGAACCUUGUCAUGUUCACCAAAUGCUUCCGCAAAUGCCUCUAAAAAGGUUUCAAAGUUGUUUAGUAUGGACGAUCGUUUCUCAAACAAAGGAGCAAACCAUGAUAGAGCUUGUCCUAUAAGUAAGGUUCCAACAAGCCCAACACGUGACUCCUCCGUUGGAUAGCGUUCGGGCUGUAAAAUUGUUAUCAACUUGAUUUGGUUGACGAAUCCUCGAAACUUGGAACGUGUACCAUCGAACUUGUCCGGAAGGCUAACUCGGGGUUCCUUAUGUUGUAGAACCAGCGGUGCUUGUCGAACCUGAGGCAAAGUUGCUUCUCCAAGUGUAGAAGUUUGAGGCUGGUACAACCUAGAUUGUGCCAUCCCAAAUGCUCCAUCAUUAUAAAGCCUUGCCACGACUCUUUCAAUCUCUGCAAUUCUUUGCGAUAACGUAGCGAGGGCAUUCAUGAUAGCAUCUAACUUGGACUCUAAACUUUUCGUCAUACUAAUGUCUUGGCCCCUGACCAUUCUAAGAGAAGGACAGAAAUGACUCUACAAGAAGACAAUAUUGGUUUAGAGGAGGGUACUCCGCAACCUCUAAAAUGCCUUAAGAGCUUCAAGAAAAGGGGUAAUCCACUCUCUCUAAGAAGAAUAAGACUCCAAUAUUGUAACAAAAGAAGUAUCAGUUUAGAGGAGGGUAAUCCGCAACCUCUAAAGUACUAGUACACUUCCAAGCAGAGGGGUAAUCCACACUCUAACAAAGAAGAAACUAACUCUGAUAUCUGAGGUGAGUGAAGUCUCGACAAACUGUCACGGACACAGAAUAUAGACUUGAUAUCUACCAAGAAGUUCAAAAAGAACUGGUAAGAACUAGAUUAAUCAGAUGAAUACAAGAACAACACCAGAGAAGUGACCUAGAGCUCCAAGAGAUGUGUUGUCGAGACUGAAGAACUCUUCAACCUCGAUCCCAAUAUAUACUUCUAUUUAGGAAGCUUCUCAAGCAACUUCUACCAAUUAGGAAGCUUCUAGAAGGUUCCAGAGACUUGCUUCUAGAAGGUUCUAGAAACUUAUCUCUAGAAGGUUCUAAGGACUAUGUCCCUAACAUCUUCUACGAACUAAGAAGCUUCUAGAAGGUUCCAGAGACGUGCUUCUAGAAGGUUCCAGAGACUUGCUUUUAGAAGGUUCUAGAAGCUUGUCUCUAGAAAGUUCUAGAAACUUGUCUCUAGAAGGUUCUAAGGACUAUGUCCCUAACACAAGGAUAUAAAUCUCAAAAAAAGAAAUCUUUAAUACACUCUUGUGUCACUGAAAAGAACUAAAAAAUCAUUCAAAGAUGAUAUAAUAUUGACCUAGAAUGGCUAUUAUCAAAAAUAAGAAGACUAAAAAUUUAAAAAAUGUUGUCAAGAGUCAAAAAGUCUUCAUUUUUGCUUCCAUAUAUACUCUUAACUAGAAGCUAUGUAGCAAUAUCCUAUAAGACCUCUAAAAUGUGUUGACUUUACAAGAUAUGUAACUUAACAUACAAGGCAAGUUUUCUAUAUAUGCAUCACAUAGUUAGCUUGUUCUACAAGCUAUCAACACGUGGUUAACUUGUUGCUCAAGUUUCUAAUCUACCAAACAACUACAAAUACAUAUAAAGUCAAAGAAAUAUCUAUGCAUCUUCUAAGAAGCUUCUUUAGAAGAUAUUAUGAAAUUAACUUAUUUUUAUCUACUUUUAUCUAUUUCUACCUAAUUACAUAUGUAUUUUUUAGAGUAUGUAUGUAUAUCUGUGACAUCAAGAUGGCUUUGCCAUAUCUUCCAUAUUAUAAUUUUUUUGCCAAAUUUUACUGUCAUAAUGUCUUUUAUCCUUCUAAUUGAUUUUUUAAAAGUAGCUCAUGGUAGCUCCAAAAUAGUAAUUAAUGUGACCACAACAACUAACCUCUAACUAAACAAUGGCUAUUAAUACAUUAUCAAAGAACAGACUAACUCUUGCUCUAAUACUAAUGAAAUGAGACUGAAUUGUAUUAAAGAUCUAAAAUCCUUGCAGUCUAUAGCAAUAUAAAUUCCAUCACAAAGUAAGACAAAACAAAUCACAAUAAAACUAAAUAAAACUAAAUAAAAUAGAAUAUGAAAGACAAAAUAGAGCAAAAAGAAGUAGAAUAAAACAGAACAAAAAAUACAAACCAAACUUUAUUAAAAAAAAAAACCAAAAAAAAAAAAAAAAAAAAACCAAAAAAAAAAAAAAAAAAACCAAAGCCAUAACAAAUUAAAUGCCUCAAAUGGCCUCAAUCAAUCAUAUUUAUACUUUAUCCAAUCAUCCUAGAAUUUUCUAGAAUGUCCCUAAUAGUGGGUUCUACCAAGAUAACCUCCAUUUUAAAAGAUUUUAGAAAUGGGCCCUAUUUUGGUAACUACCUUCUUAUAAGGUUCUAGAGGUAGAUCCUACCUGAAUAACUACCCUAAAGUCUUUUAAGAUGUUCUAUGGUAGAUCCUACAUAGGCCAUCAACUUGGCUCCAAAUCUAAAAACUUCUAGAAACUUUUCAAAAAUAAUUCCAAUUAUCUACCUCUAUGCAUCAAUAUUACAAUUAUCUUAUCCAUGCCCCAUUGCAGCUUCAUUCUUAUCUUUGUACAUACUAUCUAAUUAGAAAUUAUAUAGCAAAAUUCUUUACAAUCUCUAUUAUGGUAAACAUAUUUAUUUCAAUAGUAACUUAAAUAUUAUGAAAAGAUAAAAGUAAAUUAAUCUAAUAAUAUCUUAUGAAUAAGCUUUCUAGAAGCUUUAUAGAUACAAUUUCAUCUUUAUACAUAUCUAUAAGUAAUUAGUAGGUUAGAAAUAUAGCCAAUAAAUUAGCUACAUGUUGUAUAUGUUGAUAGCUUGUGGUACAAGUUAAUGAUAUCGUCCACAUAUAGUAAACUUAUCUUGCAAGUUAAGACACAUAUCUUACAAAUUAGACAUAUAUUGGAAGUCUUACAGAACAUUGCCAUGUAGCUUCUAGUUACAUAGUAUAUAUAGAAGCAAGAAUAAAUCCUUCUUCAUUCUUGUCAAUGCCUUUUUAGUCUUUAGUCUUGUUUAAGCUUUUCUAAUAUUUUUAUCUUUGGAAAUAGCCAUUCUAGUUUAAUAUCAUAUCAUCUUUGAAUGAUUUUUUAGCCUUUUUAAGUAACACAAGAGUGUAUUGAUCGUUUAGUUUUUUGAAAUACAUAUCUUUCACAAUUUGAUAAGAGUAUUAAUUUAUUAUUCAUAUCUUAUUUUUAGGAGUGAAUAAACUAUUCUAUUUAUAUUAUUGUGUUUUGAAGGUUGUAGGCUAUAUACCUUUAUUGUAACAUUUUAGUUUUUUAAUAAUGAUUUUUUCUUUAAAGAGAGUAGACUACCGAUUUUUGUGGAAAUUUUCAUUCGAUAUUAGAUGUUACAGAUUAUCUUCUUCUAAUUUGAUUCAUAGAUUUUUUUUGAGUUUUCUAUAAAGAAAAAACUAUGGAUGCUACUUUUAACAAAAGUAAAAAUAGAUUUGCAACUAUUAUAAAUAUUUAUCAACUUAUUAAUACUUUUAGGAAAGAAAUCUCAAGUAUCUCUAAUAUCAAUCAUAGAAGUAGCAUUUCAAUGCCUAUAGAAGAUGUCAACAAUAAAGUUUAAAGUCUAUACCAAAAAAUUGUACGAUUGAAAGAAGCAAGUAGAUCAAAUUUAGAACUAAAUCUGAGAAGUUUUGCUACUAUAAGUAUGAGGGAGAUAAAGAUAAGUAUGUUUGAGAAGUUCAAUAGAACAUGAUUAAAGUUAUAAAGAUUUCUACAAUAAGUAAAGUUCUAUCUAAGAUUGCAUCAUUUUCAAUAUCUUGAUGGAUUUACUCAAGUUAGAUUCAUAUGUAUACUUCUUUCUAGGAAUGCUUUCUUUUGAUUUACACCUUUAAUGGAAAAUGAUUCACAACUAUACUAUAAUUUAAAUUCAUUAUUAAAAAGCUUCAUGGCCAAAUUUUAAAAAAGUGAUUGAAAAAGGAUAGCAGAGGCCAAAUUCAUAUCUUUAUAACAAAGAUCACAUUUAACCACCAUAUAUGCUAUUCAAUUCUAAAAUCUUACUUAUUAUAUAGAUUAAAAUGAUAAGGCUCUUAUCAAUCAAUUUUGAUAUAGAUUAAAAAAGAAUAUCAAAGAUUUACUAUUGAUAAUAUUAAGAACAAAUUCAUCAAAAUAAUUUAUUUCUUAAAUCAUUGCAUGCAACAAUCGACUCUUUGAAAGAUGUUAAGAACAAAGAUUUGAUUGGAGAGGUACAAGUUAUGUCAUGGCAAUAGCUUCUAAGUUCAUAGAAGCUUAUUCAUCAAGACUAAACCUAUGCAAAUUGAUAUAUUAUGUUUGAAACUUCUUAUUGAGCAAGAAAAGACUCAACAUUGUUAAAAAAGAUUAUGCUUAUAUUAUGGAAAACUUAAGAAUAUUGCUUAAUAUUAUUCAAAGAAGCAACACAUCUACAAAAUAAGAAUCAUGGUUGCCAAAGAGGAUGAUAUGUCAAAAAACCAAUUUUUCUAGCUACAAUAAAAACCAUGCAAUUAUAAUCUUAUGCAAUAAUUAAUAAAAGCUUUAUCUUCUCUUAAUAUUCUUCACCUUGUUUUACAAUAGAAAUUUUUUUAGGACCAAAAAAUUAUAAAGUCUUAGCCUUGUAAAUUUUGGAGUCUCAGCCUAUUUUAUAGACAAAGACUUUUUUAAAAAAUAAGAAAUAUCCUAAGUUAAAAAAAUCAAAUCUAUGCCUUAAGAAAUAAUUAAUGGUUGUUUAUUGUAUUCUAGAGAUGUUACCUAUGAAAUAAUUUCUUUAAAUAUAAUAAGUAGUCAUAAUAGCUUAGUAAUAUUUGAUAUAAUUAAUUUUUCCACCAAUUCAAUUCUUUUAGGAUUAUUGUGGCUAAAAAAUAUAAUUCCUUGUCAUGGACAUAAAUUUCAAUGAAAGAAAACUCAAUACACUUUUAUGUCACUCCAAAAGAUUAAAAAGUCAUUAAAAGAUAGUAUUAUAAUAAAUAAUGGCUAUUAGAAAACACAAUAAGACUAAAAAGUCUUGAAACAAGACUAAGAACUAAAAAGAUAUUAAUAAGAGUGAAGAAAGCUUUAUUUUUGCCUCUAUAUAUAUAGUGACUCAAAAAAUUAUUUCAAUGUUGACAUAUUUUAGAAAGAAUGGUGUAUUAUAGAUGAAUUUUAAUAAAUAAUGACAUGUGGUUUGUAUAGCAAAUAAAAUAUUCUUUUAUAGCUACCAAAUGAGUCCAAGUUGAAAAGAAUCUAUUAAGUAAUUGUGGAACUAUGACCAAUUUAAUUUGGAACAAUAUUGAAACAUUUUUUUGAAUAUAGUAUGCAAUAACAUAUUAGUACUUUAUAUGACCUCAUUUGGCCUUGAUAACUGCUAUAUAAUUGUAUUAUCACAUGACAUCUUAAACUUCUUCAAUAUGUGAUCACCGCUCCUCAUGGAACUCUUCUAUAAAAAAAAAUGAUAAUAUCAUGGAUAUACAUAUUUAUUCUAAUAAUUAUUUAGAUAUUAUGAAUAGAUAAAAAUAGAAUAAUCUGAUAAUAUCUUAUAAGAUAGCUUAUUAGAAGCUUCAUAAAUAUGUUUUUACCUUUAUAUAUAUCUUAAGGUAAUUAAUAGGUUAGAAACUUGGCCAACAAGUAAGUCUCAUGUUGCAUGUGUUAGUAGCUUGUGGUAUAAGAUAUUGAUGUAGCACACAUAUAGUAAACUUGCCUUGUGUUGUAUUUAGGCAUCUUUCAUAGACGCAUUGUAUUUUGAUUCAUCAUCACCUAUGCAAUACAUUAAUGAUUUGAGCUUAUGAUAAAGCAUAGCAACAAGUUUUGAUUGCUCAAGAGACUAAGUUGCUACAUGAAAACAAGGCCUCUUAGUUUUCUUUCAAAUCUACUUUACCAAUGAGCAUUCUAUCAUGCGUUCAAGGAGCUAGAAGUCUUCUUGUGAAGAUCAUCAAUAGAAGCAAUAUGACCUUAGAACAAUCACUAAGAAUGGAAUUUGAGAGAAGGAAGGAGGUUGGAACAAAGAACAGAAGAAGAGGAGAGAAGGAUGUAAUGAUGGUUUUGAUAGAUGGGUCCAUUUAAUAAAAUCCAAGGUUAAUUUAAUAUUUUGCUUUAUUUAUUUAUUUAUUUAUUUAUUUAUUUAUCUAUUUAUUUAUUUAUAUUAGAAUAUUUUAUUUUAUUUUAAGAAUAGCAUGUUAAAAUAAAAAAAUCAAUGUAUAACCACUAAGACAAUCUAUUCAAUUUAAAAAAAAUGACAAAAGAUUGUUUUGUAUACAACAAAACAUUCAUAAAUUCAAUUUGUAAGUUGAAAUUUAAACAUUAGAGUUCAUUUUAUAAAUUUUAAAUAUUAUUUAUAGCCAAAAAAAAUCUUUAAUGAAAGAUAAAAUAUAGCACAUAUAUAUAUAUAUAUAUAUAUAUAUAAGAAUAUGUUCAAUUUUUUGUUUAUUAAAUUCUUUAGACACUUUAUAAAAUUUAAUAAAAUUUUGAGUUUAGGUAAUUAUAAAAUGUCUAAAGAAAGCAUCAAUUUAAACCCAAUCCCCUAAAAGGAGAAUAGAAUUGACUUGAUUUUCCACUCUCAAAGGACCCAAUUCUUAGUCAAAGUCUAAAGUCCUUGGCACCAGAAUAGUCAUCAUGGAAUCCUUCCCAUGUGAAUCAACAUCAAACCUGAAAGUACACUGGAAUGUUGUAAAUCCGAACUUGCAACCCUAAUUUUCAUAGUGUCCACUGACAACUUAGUGUAGUGUGGUACAACCCUAUUGUUGUGCAGCUAACAAAACAGUCGCUAGCAUCCGAAACACCCUAAUCUUGGGCUCGGUUUGGAGUCUAAAGACCACAAGGAGAUAACUUUUGGCAAGGGAACAUUUCAAUAGCUGUGCAUUGAAAGAUAUGUGUUAAAGGAAAAUCUUCCUUGAUUAGCAGGCUGGUGUUAGGUUUUCUAGUUUUGGUAGGUACCACAAACUUGGGCUAUGGUGGGUACGGGGCGGUGAGGUUGAAACAUCAACCAUUGUAUUCCACUCUUCAAGCGCAAAGAGCUCUGAAACCCUAACCGCUGGUGCCAAGAAAUGAGAAGCGCGUCGGACGAGUAGAGAGGCCUAAACGCAGUGGAGAAUGUAGUGGAGCAGUUCACGCAAAGCUUUCGUGGCCGUCCUCGAGAAUAAGACGGUAAUAAAGAGUACUAAGAUGGAGCAGUACUAGUGUAAGCCUAGGUGUACGUCAGUUUGUCUCAUUACAAAUACAUCAAACAAAGUGAAAACACUUCAUCUUAAACAAAACCCACUGCCAGCCCUUGUGGGAAAUUUCCGAGGAAAGCAAUACUGAGUUUUCAGUAGUUGCCUAAUAUGAACAGGCGUGGUAGUACCAACUCAACAAUUUGCAGAGAAUAUCCGACGAAUCUUCUUGGGCAGGCGAAGAACAUCGCUUGUUAGUAUUGUAGAGACGGUUACAACAAGUCCAGGUUCGUUGGUGACGAAAUGAACAAGCGGUGGAGAAAAGGAGCGACUGCUUGGGACUCCUUCAGGUAAACAGUUUGUAUCGUCUCAGCGAGCCUUACCUCGUUGGUCGAGAUCUUAUAUAUACCAAGAAAACAGCACCCAGAAAACCAGUUGAGGUACAUCAUAAGCGAAAGGCCAUUGAAGUCGGAAGCCAACAUGUUACAGCCAAGUCUUUAAUCUUAUAGACUCCUACUUCACUUAAUUCUGACCAAACCCCAUCUAAAUGUAACUGUCUUGCAUAUGUACCGCUUGGGCAGCCCGUGCAUCACUGAACCUGCAAAAUCAUUUCCUGAAACUCGGAGAUGUACGUUCUCAUGAAGAACCUUAUAACUGUAAUAAAUUGCUUGCGCCAUUAUCCCGAGCUUGUGUACAUGUACAAAUGUUAAUCACUGCUGAAGUUUCCAGAAGUAAGAAAGAACCGGUUCGGAUAGGUACCCUCUCUUGUUUUGGAGCAGAAAAACUUGUUCACUCCCAGCCAGAUCCUAAGCAUUGAGACAUUGAAUGGGCGUUCCUAAAAUUCUUCAAAUCAAUGUGGUUGGCACCCAUCCUAAAUGUAAUGCUUCAAUAAGAGGAACUUCACGAACUGAUUAUUGCAUAACUGGGUCUAAGGAGGUACAAAUGUGCUAUGCAGCAGGUGGGGAUAUCGAGGAGUGCAUUCCAGCAUCACAGAACACUGGGGGGGUGAUAUCCUCGAUUCCAGAUUGGGAGCUUCGGGAUUCAGUUCCUCGUUAUGAAACUGCAAUGAGUCGUCCUCUUGAUUUCCAAAACUCUCAAUCGGAGCACAGAUUUUUUCCCAUAUCAAAGGAUCAAGCCAUGGAUUUUCAUAACGUUUAACAGCGGGAGGAAAAUCAAUCACUGAAGAUUCCACUUCAGAAUUUUGAGAUGCAAUCAGUGUGUCCAGGAUACAAGAAAUCUUAUUUUCUGGCGCGACGAUAAGUGUCCUACUUGCAGCAGAUUCUUUAUCAUUAAUUAGCGGUUCAGGACAUGCAAUCGUAGCUUCAGGUUCAUCCUGUUUCUGCAAGAAGGGUAAAUUGUAUUGGAAAUGCUGGUGAUGAAGUGGACACAUAAAAUCUAUAGCAUGCUCGACAUGUUUAAAACACGCUGUCCAGUCAGAUUUCACUAGGCUUAGAAACUGCGGGCUAUUAGACUCUGAUGAGGCAGUAAUUGAAAGACCGAAGUUCUCUUCACCACCAGAAGAGCAACGGAAUCCCUAGUGGUCGCAUGGCUAGUGGCAUCGCUAGUGGCAUGUUUGAAAUGCUCGUAUUCUUCCACAGGAAAAAAGAAGUGACAUCAUGGAGGAAGCCUGUGAGAUUCUUCAUUGGGCAAAUCUGCAGAGAAUUUGUAAUGUUUUGAGUUACAUACCUUGGGGUCUGAGAGUCCAGAGUGUCCUCGAAAUCCUGGAGCCAUUAAUGUUACUGUAGAUGCUUGUGAUGGUUGCUGUGCCUACAGUUUCAUGAUUCAAAACUAGAACUUUGUUUUCAAGCUGACAAAAAAUUCAACGUCAUCGCUAGACUAACAGAGAUUUCGUAUUUUCAUCCUCUAAUAAUAGAUUCCACCAAAGACAUCUAUAUUAAAUCACAGUGACUAAAAGAUUCCUGCACUGGUCAAUGACAUUCUUUGAGCAGUUUCACUGCUGGGACUUGACUCUAUGAGAAACAUAAGGUGGCUGCGGAGAACCAACCGCUAAUUCCUGCUGGGACUUGACAAGAUUUUUAUUUUGCUUUCUGACGUCUUCGCUCGAUUUCAUAUCCGCAUGCUGUUCAUUUUUUCCAGUGUCAGUCAGCAUGCUCAUAUUGGUGCAUAGAUACGAGAAUUAGUGGACACCUUACAACAUUUUGAAAGCCUCCAAGUAAGCAACAUGAGUUUAAGAGAUACUAUUGAUCCCAAAAUACGACAUAUUUUGAAACAUUCCUACAGACAUUGGUACGUAUAAUAAGGCACAACUAUACCAAGAAUAUCACCGUGCCUAUUAAAUAGAGAAUUAACGAAGAGAGCAGUGUAUUUUAGUUAACAUGAAUUACUCACUGGUUCCAGAUGAGGUGCAGGGUUAAAUCCCUGAGCAAAUAAGCUUAUGAAAAUCAAUUCAGCUAAAGAAAGUAGGUACCUCAUCGAUUGUGAGAGUGGUAGCCUCUUCACUCUGCUGUGGUAGUUUGAGACUAUCACUGAAAUACGUUCCCAAACCAACCAACCAACCAAAAGUAAGAAAAAAAAAAGUAGAGAAAACAAUUUAGAUCACUCUGCCUAAGUUUUCUCAGAUCUUCGGCCCCAGAUGAGAGAUCCACUUUUCGAUGAACAAUUAUAAGAGAAGCCCAGCGGUUUAUUAACAUGAGUAAACUAUACAGACCCAAAACUGACUGUACAAAUUCCAGAAAAGUUAUACAAAGCACCACCAGUACCUAUUAUCUACUGAGUCAGGGACGUGCUUCGUCGUAAGUGUGGCCUGGAAUAUCAAAAGAUAAGAUAAGUUUCAGAAACCAUGAAACAUUCAGUAAAUAGCUAUAGAUAGAAUAAUCAACUGCAAUUGAUUAAAAGUUUGAAGUUUUAAAUAGUCUUCUCUACACCUGUUCAUCUAUAAUGCUGAAGUUCUCUGCGAGCUGUUCUUCUAGCCGCAACUCACGUACACUAGUGUCACAAGCUAGUGCUUCCUUUUGACUAUCUUGCGCUUCCUUGUGACCAUGUAGUUGCAUCCAAAGCUCCUUCACACAAAAAUUAUUUUCGACAAAUAAAACAAUGUAGCGUUUAAUCAUCUUCGAAAUAUAGUACUCAGCAUUGUACUCGGACGUACAAAUAGAUAUCACAUGCAAGAGUCGCCAAAGAUCCACAUUAGUGAUUGUCUGAUGUAAAAUACUUCACCAGCAAAACAAUACCACGCAUUCUAUCACCUGCAGUUAAUUAUACCUGAUGACACUAAAUUAACAAGGUAUUUACAUUAUCUAGUUUAAAGCAUGAAUAAGAAACGUGGGUCCACCUUUAUAGUGUACACUUUUUCUCGCAAGCUCCGCUCAAUUUGAUCUCUGGCCAUAUAAGGUGACGAAUCAAAGGUAUCCUGUUCAUGCAACCUUCUCUUUGUUAGAAGUCAGAACACUACCUCCAUGAGUAACCUAUCGAGAAUCUCCAUCGAGAACCUCUAUACAUGUUGUUUAGAGUGUUUUCCUGCAAAGGAUGGCUCGAUAAUUCACACUUCAGUGGGUUUUGACCAACAAACAACAAUGUUCAUCAUAACUUCCUUAAGAUAGUCCUAGCGGAUGGCCUUAUGCACUGAACACACCUCUUUGUUAUAAUGCAGGCAUGGCACAACACGGAUGCUCAAAAGUACCAAAACAUUUCAUCACAAACUGAAGAGAAAUGCUAGAUAUACUUAUAUAUAGAAUACUUCAUAUUGCAAGCAGCAGAGGUAAUUACCGUUCGGUCUCCUAAACGAGUCGGAGGUAGCUGAAGGUCCGCACUACCAUUUACAAUGCUUCCAGGCCUAUUCAUGCCAUUUGAUGCAUUCAAAGAAUCUCGCAUCCCUGCCUGUAAAGAAACACGGAUUGAAAAUUUCCGAAAUGGAACGAAGUGAAACGUUACAUAACACAUACAGGACAGACUACAAACCAGGAAUACCACUAUCAGAGUUUCAUGUGGUCAAUUUCAGUACAACAGCUCAUGUCAAAGUUGGACGAUUCCUUUUGCAUUUCUGUGAAUCAUCGAGCAAUCGAAUCAAAAAGAGUAUGAUGGACCAUCACAAAUAAAAUCUUGAAGUAUCUAAGAAAUUUUACACGGAUCUUCAAAAUUUACACAUUUUGUGAUUACUUACUAAGCUUCAACUGAAGUACAGGCGACUCUACACAAUACCUACACAUCAGUAGUACUUAACAUAGACACUGAUAACAUACCUGCAUGGAUCCUAAUAAUGCACGCAAAUCUGCAUUUUCUGCAACUAUUUCCUGCUUCUUGGACUCGUAGGCAUCAACCUGCGCAAAAUACCACACAUGCAUAUUUUCUCACUACCACAAUCCUCUAAAUGUGAUCACCACAUAACACUUAUUUUAGAUUGCGUUAGUGGAUAAAUUGGCUGGACGGAAAUAGAGAAAGAGCUUCAGCCAGCUAAAACUAGCAUAGCGCAUGCAGUGCCAAAAUAAAACAUUUGAAAGGGCACAUUGAUUCUCCGGAAUAUCAUCCCACAUAAGUCUAGCAUACCAAAAAGAUUUGGCUAUGGCAAUAAUAGAGAAUCCUGAAACGAGAGCAGCCAUAUGAUAAAACAUAGAAGUCUAAAAAUCACUAGAAGACUUCCUCUAAACAACAGGAGGGAUAAAUAAAAUUGAACCCACAAUCAUCUUGUAAAAGUCGCCGUCAGCUUUCUUAGUGUUCCAUGUCCCCCGUUGCCUACCUUCUUUCUGAAACGAAAAAACGGCACAUACACUCAAAUAAUUUGUCAUCAUUUUCAUUGUGCCUAAAACUGUCAAUCGUCAAUACGAAUCUCCCGGAUUUCAAGCAUACUUUGUUGACAUGAAACAUCAGCAGAUCCAAAGCUAAAACUUCUUCCAAUCUAGAAUUCUAUAUGAUUUUCGCCGUCUGUUGAACAAGCUCGACAGACGUUGAAAAAAUCCUCUCCGCUGACCACUACUGAUAACCUCGAUGGCAAAUUGUCGAGUUCUAAAUUACUCAAAAAUCCAGAAUAUUCUUAAAAGGUGUUCACGUGGUUUACUCGUGUUCAUAGACAAACGAGCACAUAGGUAUAUGUCCAUAAAAAACUAAGACAUAAGGCAGUCGAGCACAAAACGGCGUCCCUUGGAAAAUUGUGAAAACAUUUCAGGCACUGUAUUGCAUUGUACCUGAAGAAGGUUCAUGACUUCCGCGGUGUUCUUGGACUCCUUCUUUUUCUCCAUCAAUAUCUGAUUGAGCCGUUCCUGCGCCCAAUAAAAGCCUUGUAAAUUGUUAUCGGCUGACACCUCUUGCAAUGAACUCUAGUAAACUUUCAUAGUUGCCACCAGAAUUUAACACCGUUAACCAACUGGUUCUCCAAUUACCCAGAAUUCGCAAAAUACAUUUGAACUUGAAGAUUCUGAUUGGGAAGUGAAUUACGUAGCUGCUAUCUUCAAACUUGAUAUGUUCUAGAUACUUACUGACGUUAGGAAGCGAUGCAUAGGCAUACCUGUAGCUGCACAUACUCCUUCUCCUUCUUCUUCAAUUGGUGGUUCUGCUGAGACCUAAUUUGCUGUCCAUUAACCCCGGCACAUAUGUUGGGAAUUGGCAAACAGCAUCACAUCACUAAAUCACGGAAAAGUAAUAGGUGAAUUUUGAAAUUUUUAUGGUCAAAAGAGAUCUAGAAUAUAUGGAUAAACAACCACUCUUACAAUCAGCCUGAAAGCACUGAAACUUUCAUAAAUGCUUUUCAGCGCAACAAACUAAUUUUGUACGAUAAAUAGACCCAAGAUGCUUUCAAACCGAAAGCUACGACGCUCAAACCUGUACGCCAAUCAGGAUGCGUUGAGUUUCAUCCUUUUCUUGUUGCAAUUUAUCUAACUGCGUCUUAAAAGCAGCCGUGACCUUUUGUUCCUGUCACCACCAACCAAACUCGCUCUAAAUGAGUACACUUGUCUUGGUUUAUACCGAUUUGAUAUUCAGCCAUUCCCAGUGAAAGACGGCCAUUCAGUUGAGAACCCAGUGCAACAAAUGAUCGGCUGCUUUCAGACGCUAGCUCGAGCAUACAAUUGAUUUUUACAGAUUUACCUUGCUGGUUAGCAUUUGCAAUUCACGUUCCUUGAUGCUGAGCUGAUCAGACAGUCUCUCCAUCCUGGUCUCUAACCUAGACAUGUCUGAAACCAAUCUGCAGAGCAAAACAAUUUCCAGAAAAAGUUACAGACUGUACGGUUUUAGAAGGUAAAGAGUUGACUUUGGACAACAUCCACAAAGGCCUCGCACUGUUUAGAAUUUAAAUUUCGCGCUCAGAUGAAGUGCUGCAUGUCCAUUUCCAAAAUAUUGAACUGGGUUGUGUCAACAAAGUCGUAAUUCUAGCUUUGCAAUCAGAAGUCUGUAAGAGCAGGUUUGAAGAAUAGCGUUGAUGUGAUUGACAUUGGAUUAACCUAUCUUAUGUAACCCCUGAUUGCUCUUUAGAUUGCGGUUCUAAACAGCAUUGGUUCAUGUACUGCUUUUAAUAUCAAAUGUUAACAAAUACACAGCACAAUGCCUGAGCCAAAGCAAACCUUUGUCUCGCGUCAUUAGCAGCUUCACGAUACUCGAUGUCUCGUUGCCGUUGUUGAAUCAUUGCGUAUAAGCUGUUACACGUAUUUGCGAUUGAUACCUGUUCCAGAAUUAAGUCGUUCUCAUGGGAUAAGCCGACAAAAACUACCUCCGCAACCAUGAGUUUUUUACAUUUAUUAAUACAGCCAGCAGGAGGAAGAUAUAGCUCGUAGAAUAUUUCACAAAAGAUCAACCUAACCAUGGGACAUAAAUCUUACAGGGUCAUUUGAAUACAAAUUGAUUCCAGAAGGCAAACCGAAAGUGACCAGGGACUGAUUCAGGUACUUGAUACAAUGAUCCAAAUUGUGGAUAUCUGCAAAGACAUCCUCCCUGCAGAGAGAAGGCCAAAGUACGUUCAGAUCAUGUGAUUCGGCACUGAGAAGACGUGUACUGAUGCACCCUAGAAGACAUUCACACUAAUUGGAUUCUCCUCCGUCAAAAUGUGAAUCGCAUAUAUUAACAUUUACAUAAGGAUUUAUUUCAGUAUGCGCACACUAGGCUCUUCAAGAAUGGAAAAAGGUUAUUUCACGGACUAGAUCCUCAUAGCUAAGUUAUAUCACAUUUUCUUCAUCAAUCAACUGCGAUGAGACCAAAUUUUAAUGAAUUGAAAAGAUGUUGAUUAUCAGCAGCUCAUAUUAAGCCAAUGUAAAUAGAAGGUACUUAAGAGGAGUCACAUUAACGCAGUUUAGAAUCCUUUUAGGAAGGCAAGUGAGAUACCCGUUGGUGUAGCCAGCCUCGUAAGACUCCUGCAAAGGGCAUAGAUGUAUACAAACUUAAACAAAGUUCAGGAAAUCUAUGAAACAUGAAAACAUCGUCAUCCAUAGCAAGUGUGUGCCAAGAAAAUUCGCAUAUUGAGAUGUCAGCAAAUUGUUACUACGCAACUAUAAAUACAAUGUGCCACAUCAGUAUGAAUACUACCGCACUACAAUCCACAUUGUCUUACCUUCAAGGGAAGGACGGAAGCCUAAAUUAUGUGAUAACUACUAACACGAACCUACAUAAGCGAAGAAAACUCGCCGCUCCGUAACAUACGCUGAAAAAGAGGGAAGUCUCACCAUAUAACUGCCUUCAUUGUCGCUUAUCUUCAUUGUCACCUCCUUGUCGGUACAAAUCCAAUGUUACUCUCUCGCUGUACAGGAUCUUUGAAUCUAAUUGAUAUGGUGUAAUGAAUAUAGUCGAAAUUUUUUCAAAAGUCAAGGCGGAGGGAUUGUCAUCUGAGCGUCCGGUAACCAGUUCACCAGGAAAAUAAUAAUGAAGCCGGUUUCCAAGGUCAUACAGACUUAAGAAGAAUUAAGAAUAGAACAAUAGUUAAUUUCAUACUUCAAAGUAGUCUUCUGAGAUGAUCAAUGUUAAACACUGUGCCUUACAACGUUCAAAUAUGAGAAAAGUACGUACAUCCUGCCAAGGGAGGAAUUAUUCGCAGAACGAGGGGCCAGGGAGAGCGAAGCUUAUGCAGAAGAUCCGAUAAACUGCAACUUAAUAAAUUUUGCGCAGCUCAAUGACUGAAACCAGUACUUCAUAAUUCCGUAAGAUUGAUGCUACUACAGCCAAAGGAAACCAUAAGCAAAGAGCUCCAUUAUUCCCUCACAAGACCUAACAGAAUUCAACCUCAACGAGUUUGACAGCGUAAUACUCAUUGAAUUGUUCUUCAGUCCAGAAAGCAGCUUAUGAAAAUUCCCAGAGUUAUUCAUUUCCUGCACGAAAAAAGAUAAAGAAAAAGAACACAAUACGGAGACGCGAGAUAGCGGUCGCACCACUUCAGUAUGACUAUCAAUUUCACUUUCCGAUCCACUCUUCCCACGCAUCCAAUAUCAGUACAUAAACCAACCACGCAUGAGCCAAAGUCGAAUAUGGGCCCGAAACUUCCCAAAAUUUGCCGUUCAGUAUCCUUUCAAAAUUCUCCAGUACCUCACACACGUGGUAGGUAGUCCAUGCCCCUCCUGAAACCAGCACGAAUACGACAGCUAAUUCUUACAUGCUCUUCGACCCCGCCCGUAAAGACUUGACGACUUCGGGCAACACCUCCAAAAACAUGUGCAGUAAAACUACUAGCAACGGCCACAAUAAACACCUUCACGUCUUGCAAUCUCACGAACCAGCCUGAAAUUGUAGAAUUCCACACGUACAAAAUACUCACCUCGCCAACUUCAACACACUCCCUUGUUUCAUAAUCAACUACACGAAAAUGUGGGAAAAAAACAAAAAGAAAAAAAAAAAACAAAACAAAACAAAACAAAACAAAAAAUCCUCUUCGUUUCAACUCAAACAACCAGAGCUUCCAAAAUCUCGUCGAUGCCACUACUUCUAACUGCGACCGCGUUCAAUCCUCCUACAGAAUACAAUACUCUCAAGAGCACUCUCGACAGUAUCCACUUAUCGUGAUAUAUUCGGACUCUAAUCGCAAUGCAGCUUGCCCAGUUGCCCCGAACCAUGAACGACGUGCCGCCAACACGCGGUUGCUGUUAGCAAAUGCGAGGCAUCAAAUAGAGUCACGAUGGGAUGCUUUCUCCGAACGCAAAAAGAUGGAGGAGACAUUCGUAACCAUAGGUUUCAGAGCGCAUGGGACUUGUUGAGCGCUAACAACAACAACGGAACCAGUAGGAAAGGAACGGAAUGGCUUGCGCCGCAACGAAGACAGACACACGCACAAACAUACACACUAGCCUCGGAGGACAGGCCAGGCCGGACCGGGCCGGGCCAGAGGCUUUUCCGCAAGCAUGGGGCGGGAGGAGGCGCCGGGGCCCGCUAGAGUUCUGGAAAUAGUCACCCGUGUGUUCAAGUCGCCCGAGCCCGAGUUGGCUGCCGUCGGAAUAGCAACGGAUAUUAUUCAUCGUUGACGAAAAAGAUUAUACGUCCGCUGAGCUCAGCCAUAUCAUGUUCACACUUGCAUGUGAGGGUGUGUUUUCUCGCUCUCUCUGCGCACUCAACUUCUUGGUUUAGAGCUUCCUUUUGUGAGUUAGGGGGAUAUAAAUAAAAAUAAUAUAAAUUUGGGCAAUGAAUAUUUGGACACUAGAUUACCACCAAGCUCUUAUUCAGGAUUGCCUUCUUGUUUGGAAGUUGUGGUAAACCAGCUUUCACAUGCUGAAAUUGCUGACAGACAAUUAUAAGAUACCCACAAAACAUAGUAUUUUUCUUCAUUUGCUUUAAAGUUUUAGCCAAUUUGUGUAAAGUAAAAAUAAUAAUAAUAAAAUAAUAAUAGUAAUAAAAAUAAAAAUAAAGUAAAGAUACACAUCAACAUUGCAUUUCCUGAUAUCUAAAAUUUCUUUGAUGUAACAAGUGUAAAAAUCUUUUUUUCAUACGGAAUUUUAUUUUAGAGAUUUUAAAUUCAAUAAUGAUUUAAAAAAAUAUGUGUAAUUAAAUUAGUAUUUUAAAAAAAUAUUUAAAGUAUAUACAAUUCCCUGGUAGUACAAACUACUGUGCCAUUUUAUGAUUUACUGUAUGCUAAGUUAGAAGCAGUUAUUGUGUAAUGAAUCAGGAAAAUUAGAAACUAAAAUAAAUAUAUGUGCAUUUAUUAAUAUAUAUAUAUAUAUAUAUAUACAUGCAUGUGUAUUUUUCUAUAGUGAAAAUAAGAUUCAAGCAAUGGUCUUUUAGUGUACUCACACAUCCAAUGUAUAUAUGCUCUAGUACUAAACUGAUGUACAAUUUUCUUAAGUUUUUGAAGUUAACUUAGACUUCCUAGUAAUUUAUUUAAAAAUAUAUAGGAAAUUACAUUUAUUGUCUAAUGCCUUUUGGUAACACCACUAAAUUGAAGUUGAGAAACAAAAAAUAUAUAUAUAUAUAUAUAUAUAUAUAUUUAAAAUUAGAUCUUUUAAUUAUGAUUGCAUAUCUUUAAAAAAAGAAUCAUAUUUUACAAACACCAUAAAUCAGAAUAAUUGUUGGCAUAAAUUCCUAAAACUGUACAACUAAAUGUAGAGAUAAAAUUUUGUGAAACUUCUACUAUUUAAUUAAAUUAUCUUAAUUUACUUUAAUUUAAGUUAUUUAGAUGGCAUUAGAUUUCAACCUUUGUGAAUUGCACAUUUUGAUACUUGAUUGAUGUAAGAAAAUAAAAACACUGCAAGAAUUUGAGAUUCAAUAAAAACAACCAAAAACACAAAACAAAACAAAACCAAAUACAGGCUGAAAACAUUCAGAUUCCUAAAACUGUAUGAUUCUAAAGACAAACCCAAAAGUUAC